GACAAAAAUUUCAAAAUUAAAAAAAAAAAGAGCACCGAUGAACAUCCUAAACUCAAACAAGUUCAAGAGAAUGAUAAAAAUUGGAAUCGAUGAGCGAGAAAUGAUCGAUGGAACUUACAGCAGCGACACCACCGCCAAGAAUCACGUACUUGAAAUUCUUCACCGCCAUCGAUGAUCAAAGCUUCGCUUUGCUCUGCUCGUUCUUCUGCUCUGUGGCUUUUCUUUCUUCCCUUUUUCUUCAGUAUAGGAUUGGGAUUGAAUUUGGCCAGACAAAUUUAUAGGAGGCUACGGCCCCUUAUUGGCUGCCGUUUGUUAUUAUUUUGUAUUAUUACACCUUAUCAUCUAUUUUAUCAAUAUUUAAAUUUGAUUUUACACGUAAUUUCAAGACAUACAUAUUAUUUAUUUAUGCAAUUAUAUCAUUAUUUAUAAAAUAUAAAAAAAUUUAUUAACUUGUUUUUAUUUAAAAUUUUUAUUCUCAUCAAUUUCAAAAAUACUAAUUUUCUAAAAAUAAUCUGAAAAAAAAAAUUUCAGCAAAUGACAGCGAAAAUUAUAAGUUUCGUUUUAAAUUACUUCAUUUUUUAACAAAUUUUCUAUUUUUUUCAAAAUAAAUUUUUUUCCUUUUUCUCUUAUUAAAAUAUGAACCGUCAAGUAUGUACAGAAUCUUAUUUUAGAAAAUAAUGAAUUUUUUUUCAGUCUUCCUUUGAACGUAGACAUUUUUUAUAUUCAUGUCAAUAAACAUUAAAAUUUGAGAUUUCUUUCCAAAUAAAUAACCUUUUAAGUGGGUUAAGGACUUUUCUUUCGGAAGGACGGUUGAAGUUGACGUCAUUGAUGAUGUGGCAAGGGAUCUUCAUGACUUCGUCUAAUGUUCACACAGUCAAUGAUCCCGUGCGACCGGUACCAUGAUUUUCUCAUCACAUCAGCCUAAAGAUCAACGUUAGAAAAAGGUAAAGACAAACGUGGUUUGACAAAUGCUCCACAACCACGAAGCGAGUCAAACCAAGGUGCAUGAUUCGGAAGUGGCGGGCUGCGAUGGACUUGGAGUUGGUCAUGGGUUUAAGCCCAAAUUUAAAAACAAUUAAACAUUUUCAUUUUUUGGGAUCCAACGGUCUAAGCUUUAACCUGAUUAAGAACACCAAGCACCAAUGGUAGAGUUUUCACUUAAAUUUAACAAUAUUCAUAUUUAAUGGAGAAGAAGGGUUUAAUUUUGUAAUUGUUUAAGAAUUUUUGUUGGAAUAUAUGUGAAGAGAUUCAAGGGAAUUAUUCAAAUUUAUACCUUUUUUACCCACCCCCUCUGCUUAAAUUUGAUAUAUAAUAAUACUUUUAAAAAAUAUUAUCAAUAUGCAUUCAUAUUAGUAUUUGAUUUAAUAAAAAAAUAUAUGUAUUUUUUGAAGAAUUACAUUAAAAUCAGAUUUUUUCAAUUAUUUAAAAAUAAAAAAAAUUAUUCUUAGUGUUUUAUUUUAAAUAUAAUAGUUAAGAUUGUUUCAUCGGCUUAAAAUUUUAAGAUAAAUUGGUUACUUAAUUUAACAUAAAGUCAGAGCUAUUGAUACCAAAUCUUAGUAGACAGUUUUUCAUUUUACUCCUUCUGUCUCAUUUUUUUUUUCUUUUUCUUAUGUCCUAAAAUUUUUUUUUUGAACAUUUAAAAUUUUUAUUUUUUUAUAUUUUAAAAUUAUUUUUUAUGAUUUUUUAAACUUUUUUAUAUUAAAAAUUAUGAAAAUUUAAUUUUAUAAAAAAAUUAAAAAUGUAAUAUUAAAUAAAAUAAAAUCAAUUUUUUUUAAUUUCAUAAAAAUUUAUUCAUAAUAAAUACUUUGAGAUGAAAAGUUAUAUUUUUUCACUUUCUGUUGCCCGUUGGGUUGCGAGAUACUUUUUAAUAUUUCUCCAGCUUGUAUUUUUUUACAUUUGAGUUCAUGUGUAAAUUUAUUAAUAUUUUAUCUAAUUUUCUCGUGAAAAUUUUUAUUAUAACUUAAAUAUAAAAAUUAUAUCUGAAACUCAGAGUAAGUAGUUUCUUUUAAUUAAAAAAAAAGGAUGAUUUUUCUUUUUUUUUUUACAAUUUUAAAUAAUAAUUAAUGAUCUCUGUGCAUACUUUUCUUUGUCGACAUCAAAGACAAAGUUGAUUAUAAAAUGUCCAAUAUAGUACAGUGUAACAUCAAUAGUAGGCAUCAUGUCGGGCACUAGCUUGAUGUCUCAUUUUUUGGCAUCGCACCAUUAUUAAUUUGAUUCCCUAAGAUAUUUUUCUUGCUCUUCCUCCUACUUUUUCAUGCCAUUUAUAAAGAAAAAAAAAAUCAUAGAUUUUGAAACCACAAAAAGGAGAAAAAAGUAGUUAAAAAUAAAAAUAAAAAAUAUUUUUUAUGUUUAUAUUCUGAUGUUUAAAUUAAAAAUCAAUAUAAAAAUAUCAAAAUAAGAGAAAAAUGAAAGGUUUGUGUGGCAUAAUAAUAAGUAACCGAAUUAAUACUAUUAAAUAUGUUAAAUCAAUAUGAUGCAUCAAAUUAUCUUAAAAUUAAAAUAUAUUUGAUUGUCUAUCUAUAAUUUCUAACGAAAAAAAAAAAAGAUCAAAAUAUUUUUUAAAUAAAAAAAUACUCCUAAUAAUUUUGGUUCAAAUUCAGCAGACUUUCAUAUAUGUAUGUACAUUAUAAAAGAUAAAGUAUAUGUUAAAUUUUAUUAGUAAAAGUUUAUUAAUAUUGUGUAACUAUAACAAUUUAAACAUGACUCUUAAAUACAUAAAAAUAUAUAUAAUAUUUGAAUUUUUAUCAUUUGUUUCUUUUUUUUUAUUAUUCGUUAAUGGCUAACAUAAGAGAUAGCACUUGAAUUUCAGUAGUUGGUACAUGAUUUUAAUCUCUUUUUCUCUAAAUAAAAGAAAAUACUUAAGAUAAAUUUUAAAAAAUCCCUAUUUAAAAUCAAAUAUUAAAAAUUUGAUACAUUCAAUAAUAGACUCUCUGAGUAGUUUAUGAAUUGAUUCGAUUUUUAAAACAUUGAGAAUGAUAUAGAGAAAAAUUGAUCCAUUAUUGUACAAACAUGAAAAGAGGUCUACCAAAUUGCAUUCAUUAUAAGCAAGUAGGAAAGCCUUUUUUUUUUUUUGCAAGGCCAAUAGCAAAUCAUGAAAGCCAAAGGGAUAAACAAGGAUCACACCAUGAAUUUAUUUUUGGGACCCCUAAACCCUAAGCAAUCCACUAUUGAACAAAAAAUUUUGGCUCUUUUUGCUAAGAUCCGUACAUAGAAAAAAAAAAAUGGCCCUUACUCUUUGAAGAAGUUAAGACAUUAACUGUUUAACUCUUUUUAUUUGGUACAUCUCAAAAUGUAAACUCUUGAUGGUACAUUGGAGAGGGCUAGAAAAAGUGGGGCAAAUUUGUCUUGAGGGUAAAGAAGAAAACAAAGCUAUAACUCCAUGCAGAAUAAUAGAAGAAAAGGAGUCUUAAUUUUUUUUCUUUAUUUUUUAGGGAUUUAUAUUUUAUUUGGAUUACAUAUAACAAAGGAUUUUACUCUCAAAAUGACAUAAUAGCACAAUGAAAAUUUAUUUUUGUCGACUAGAAGAAUGAGGACAAAAGUUACAUGAAGUCUUUUUAGUAAAUUUUGUGAAAUUUCUUUUAAAAAAUGAUUUAGUAAAAAUUUUAAUAAAAAAUUCAAAUUGAUAGAUUAAUAAAAUUCAAUGUGAAUAUCAAUAAUAUGUAAAAAAAUUAUAAAAAAUAUUUUUAUAAUUUAAAUUUGAUUAAUACUUUUUUAACGAUAAAAAUUUUGUCAAUAUUUUUACUAAAAAUAUCUAUAUAAAAUAUAUAUAAAAUAUAUUAAAUAUUUUUAAAAUUUUAUGCACUUGAUUUAUGUAAUAAAUCUUUUAAUUUAUCAAUUUUAAUUUUUUAUUUUAAUUUUAUUUAAUCGUUUAUAGUAGAAAACUUCACAAAAUUUACUUAAAAAAUUUCAUCUAAAUCUUUCCCUUCAAAUAAAGCUUUAGGUCGGCACCGUUUUAAACUUUUUUUUAUUUCUUUCAUUUUUUGAAAUUUGUACAUGAAAGUCUUGUAUACCUUGGAUUUAAGGCAAAGACAAACACCAACCAACCCUUUCUAGCGCAUACCAUGUGAGAAAGAUGGUACUACACUACUACUUUAUUGAAAAUUUUAAUGGCCGAUUUAUUUGUGGUCUAAUAGAAUUUUUAUAAAUUUAGUUUCUCUUUAAAAGAAUAUAAAAUUUUUUCUCUUAAAGCACAUGUAUUAGUUUUACUUUUUUUUUUUUUAUCAGAUGUAUAAGUUUUACUAUACAUGUAAAUUGUUUUUUUUUUUUUCUUGUUUUUAGAUCGUCCAGAUUUGCAUAGCCAAAUAAGAAAUACUUCUAAACUUUUUCCUCUCCUUUUAUGGGCAUCAAGGGUUGUACUUUUUCAUGGAGCAAAAUGAGUCUCGUUUACUUGGAUAGGACGGUUAAAUUGAUUUCAAUAAAAUUAAAAAUAAAAAAAGUUAUUGUAGUUACGAUUAAAAAAAUAAUUUUAAUUAUGAUUAAAAAAUUUAUAAAAAAUAUAUACUGAAUAAAAUUCAUUAGAAUUAACAUUUGAAUUCAGUUGAUGAUGUAAUGAACUUAAUUGUACUAUAUUGAAUGUACGAUAGAAUCCAAAUCCCCACUUAGUCUCUAUGCCUAUUAUUUUUUUUUUUUUUAUAAGAUAAAAUUAUUAAGAAAGAAGAGAUUCGAAAUUUUAUUUUUUAGUAUGGUUAUGCAUAUUUUACCAUUAAAUUGAAGAAAAUUAUUUAAUAUAUUAUUAGUAAAUUUUUUAAUUUUAUUAACAAAAUUAAAAAAUGAUCAUAUAUCAUAUAUUUAAAAAAAUUAAUUAUGUUUGUAAACUUUAAAAUUUUCACUGCUGAAACAUUAAUCCUUAAAUCAAAUAAUCAAAUGCUACUAAAAUUUCUUGAAUUCUUGGAUUAUUGUUUGAAAUGGUUGACUUGUAAUUAAAAAUGAAGGGAGAAAACAAUAGAGAAUAUGUUUGCAUAAAUAAUGAUAAUGGAGGGUAUUAUUGAAAGAGGAUCUAAUACGAGGUGAUGUGUUUAAAAUAAAUGAACCAAAAUAUGGUAAAAUCAGGACUUCAUUGCAUUUUUUUUUUUUAUUUCUGCCCGUUUGCUUUAAAUUUUUGGCUAAAACAUUAAUAAAGUUCUUAAAUUAUGUUUUUAAAUAAAUUUUAAUAUUUUUAUUAUGAUUUAUGUUCAAAUAAAUCAUUAUUCUAAAAAAUUAAUUUAUAUUAAAUGUUUAUUUAUAUAUAAUAGAAAUUAAAAGUUAAAAUUUUAUUUGGAUACAAAUUAAAUGUUAAAAAUUUAUUUAAAUGUAAAUUAAAGAUCAAUGACUUAUUUAAAUACAAUAAAAAUAAAAAAUUUAUUUAAUCAAAAUAAUAAAAUUAAAAAAAUUAUUAUUUUCACCUAAAUUUUUAAAUUUUAAUCUUCCUUAAUUCUUUACUGACCCAAAAAAAAAAAUCUUCCUUUUAUUCUUCAACCGCCGGCAUGGGCCGUGGAAGUAUAACGUGGGCGGCAUAUCUUUUUGUACGAAUAAAAAAUUUUUUUAAAUAUAGUAAAUGAUUUAUAUGAGAAUAUAUAAAUAAAUAUUAUAUUCCAUUAUUUUCUCUUUAUUGCACCGCGUGAUUGAUUCGUCGAAUUCCUUCAAAGUUUUUGAGUUAUCACUUGUCAAUAAUGAAUGUGAAAAAUUUUAUAAUUUAUAUAUUUUUGUGCAUAAAAUAUUAAAUAUUAUAUUUUAUAUUAUAUUUUAUAUAAAAAUAAUAUAUUAUAAUUCAUAUUGAUAUAAAAAUAUUAAAUAUUUUUUAAUUUUGUUAAAUUUAAAUAUAAUUAUUAUUAAAAUUUUAAAUUAUAUUAUUUUUAUUUUUUAUAUGUUAAUGUCAUUUUAUCUUAUUGUAUUUUAAAUUAUCAAAUAUAAUUAAAUUUUAAUUGAUUUAUAUAAUUAUUUUUAAAAAAUAAUAUUAAAUAAAAUUAUAAUUUAAAUUUUAACACUUAUAAUUUAUAUAUAUUUUUUCAAAUUACAAAAUUUUCAGCAAGAAAAAAAAGAAAUUAGUAUUAUGGAUGUAAAUGAUAUAUUAAUACUCACAAGUUAUUCGGAUUCAAUUAUAAUAAAACUUUAAUUCGACUCGAUUAUUAUCGAAUUGAACUUGAGCUCGAGUAACUUGACUUAUCGAUCUAACCGAAUUCGAUCAUUCUUAUACUUGGCUUACGAGAUUCGAAUAGCUCGUAAGCUAAGUCAAGCCUAAUUGAGCUUUUUAUAUUUAAAUAUAUUUUAAUUAUUUUAAUUAAUAAAAUAUCUCGAAUUUAAGUUCGAGCUCGAGCAUAAAUAAUUAAAUUUUUUUCGAAUAUAAUAAUCGAGUUUAUUUUUAUAUGUUAAUCAAACUUAAUCGAACAAGUUUAAAUAGUUUGAUUUUUAUCUCUAGUAUCGUUUAAGCUAAAAAAAAAACUUGAUCGAGUUCAAGUUGAUUUUCGAGCAUUGAAUUUUAAAUUAAGUUCGAACUUAAAUUUAAUAUUAUAUCAAUUUGAACUCGAUCGAUUAUAUCUCUAACUAAUACAUAUAAAAAAUGAAAGAGAAUCAUGAAAACUAAAAUUGUUUUUCUUAUUUUCUUUUUAAAGAUGGAUUUCUACUUUAGUAACAACUACAAUUUUUAGUAAUUUACCAUCCUUUUGUGUAUCUGAAUAUGAUACAAAAUAUCUCAUUUAUUUAUUUCUUUUUGUUUUCUCCCUAAAAAUGAGAUAUUAUUAGCAAGUUUAAUUAGGUUAUUUAUUUAAAAAAUAAUAGUAAUAAUGAUCGUUGAUAUAAAGAUUAUUAAACUACAUUCAUUACGAAAAUUUAUUCCAUUUUGAAGUACGUUGAUACGUUUUUAAUUUUUUUUUCAAAUAUGCUUAAAAAAAAUAAAGAGUAAACAUUUAUUUAAAAAUAGUUCAAUUUUUUAUUAUUAACAAUAUUUUAUUAUUCAACAACAAUAAUCAAAGCGUGCUCUCAAUAGGUAAGGGUGAAAAAAAUAAAAAAAUAAAAAUCAGUUUGAAAUUUUAAUUUUUGAUUAGAUUAUAAUCGAUUUUUUAUUUGAUUUGAAUUAAAUUUGGAUAUUAAAUAUAUAUAUUAAAUUCGAAUUAAAUUUUGAAUUGAGAAAUGAGAAAAAGAAAAAAACUGAACUAAAUUGAAUUAUAUAUUUUUAUUAAUUUGUAUAUAUUUUUAAAUUUUUAUAAAAUAAAAAUAAUUAUUUUAUAUAAAAUUUUAUUUAAAUAUAUUAAAAAAUUUAUUAAAAUAACAUAAAAAUAAUUAAAAAUUUUUAAAUUUUAAAAAAUAAUCUGAACUGAACAAAUAAAAUUCAAUUUGAAUCACCAACACUUAUUGGUUGAAUAGUAAAAAACUUGAUUCCUCUUUAAGUAAAGUUUUAAUUUCAAAUACUUUAAUUAAAAAAAAUAGAUGUUGAAAGAGUUUGUCUCUUUAUGAGAUUCAAUUCAAUUUGAUUUCAUAAUAAUCAAAACUUAAAGUGAUUAUCGAACACUUUAAAUUAAAAAAAAAUCACUUCGAAUCUAUUUUAAAAAAUAUUAAUUUGAAUUUGAAUUAAAUUUUAAAAUUUUAUAAUAUUAUACAUUAUUAAAAAAUAAAAUAAAUUUAAUUUAAUUUAAACUUUUAUCGUUUUUGAAAUGUAUGAUUGAUUUGAAUUUCAAAAUAUUCUUAUUGUUCAUUAUAAAUAAUUAUUAAAGAAUUUAAAUUUAUGUGGGUGGAGCAAGAAGCAGCCAAAGGAAAUGAGUUUUCACUAAAGUGGAGUGCAUCCCAAAAUCCUGCCAGCUCUGACAUUUUUUUCACCAAUUAUUGAAGGGUAAUUCCCUGUACUUGGAUUUUUUUCCCUCAUGGUUACCACUUAAUUACCACCCAAUUUUUUACUGUAAAAAAUUGAAAUUACAAUUAAUAAUAGUAUUGAUUUAUGGCAAAUGCAAUGUGUCCCAACAGGGAAUUAGGAUUUAGGAUGUCCAAUUCAAUUAUUUUCUUAAUUAAUGUCCAAUAUUAAUUAAUUCUAUUUUGUCAUACUAUGCACCAACCAAAACCUUACUAUAUUAAUCAUAAAUUUUGCUAAUGAGUAUUUUAAAGCACUCUUUAAGGGUAGUAAUUUUUUGCAUUAGAAACAAUAGUUAGACAGUUAAUUUGAUGAUAUUUUUAAAUAAUUAAUUAAUAAAUUAUAAUCGAUAGCAAAAUAUAUUUAUCGUUAAUUAUGUUUUAUUAUAAAUAAUGAUUAUAUAGUAAUAAUUAUUUGAUAGUUGGUGGAAAUUUAAAUAAAUAAAUAGAUGAUUAAUAUGAAUUAUGAAAAAUUAAAGUCACAAACUUUUGUAUCAAGUCCAUCAUUAAUACUUAAAACCUAGUCAUCUUUAAUACUUUAACCUCAAGCUGUUGUAAUACUAAACAAAAUCACACACUUAUUUUGAAGGUUCUUUAAUAUACUAUUAGGGAAACAAAUUAAAGUGACCUUUACCCAAAAUUUUAAUUUUCCCUCUUGAAAUUAUAUAUUUGUAAAAAAUAAAGGUGUUAAAAGUAAAAAUAUAUUUUGAAAAUUUGCCUCUACUUUUUAAUCCUUUAAGUUUAUAUUUUGUAGGCUCUAAUAUUGGUAUAAUAUUAUAAUGUAUGAAUUUUUCCUUUUAAAAAGUUAAAGUCGAUUUAAAAAAAAAUCUUUUUUUAAUAUAAAAUGAAAGAUUAUUGUUUGAAUUACAAAUAUUUAAAUAAAAAAUUUAAUUUAAUCACUCGACAUAUUUAAUAAAUUUAUAAUUUAAAUACUAAUACGAGAGUUAUAAAUUUUUUUAAAUUAAAAAAUUUUAUCUGAGUCUCAUUAUCUUACUAUCAUUUAAGUUUUAUGACAGAUUGAUUAAAAUUUAUAAAAAAAUUAAAUUAUUCUAACAUGUUUUUUUUUUAAAUAAAUUAUUCUCACUAGAUUAACUUCAACUCAUAAAAAUUUUGAAUUAUCCAAAAAAAAAAAAAAGCAUAAUGUCAUACAAAGUAAUAGUAAUUGAUUAAGACCAUUAAUUUUGUAACAUUAUGUUCUAACUUUUUCUCUUGUUGUUGAUAAGUGUGUUCCAUUAAUGAACAUGACUUUGUGUUCCAUUAAUGAACAUGACUUGCAUUCUUAAGUAAAAUCAAUCAUCAUUUGUCUUAGACAUAUUGUCUCCAAAAAGAUUGAUAUAUUUUUAUAUGUAAAAAUAAUAGAAUUAAUAAUAAACUAAAACUGGGUAUCCAAAGAAAUCGAGAGUAAAUAAAAAUAAACAAAUAAAUGAAUAUUAUAUCACUAAAUAAUUAAUAAUACAAAAUCACAAACAGAUAAAUAGAAAAUUUAAUUAAUUUAUUCGUUGGGCGAACCAACAAUAAUAAUAAUAAUAAUAAUAAUAUUCUCUUGUUAAAACAGUAGAAGUAGGCGGUGUCCGUAUCUAACCUGCAAAAAAAUUUUUCCCCCUCGCUGCUACGUGUGACCCACUUCAAUGUAUGGUGGGCCCAUUUUCAAACAUCUAAAUAAUCAGAGCCCAAAAAAAAAAAGAAACAACACUAUUUUUUUGUACUCUGUCUUCCUUUCUCUCUUAUUUUCUUCAACCCACUUUGAUUUUAGCACUCUUGCUAGGCUUUUCAAUCCUAAACAUCUGUUUCUUAAUUUUCUCGUUUCAUACAUUUUGGUCCCAAAAUCUAUUCCUCAAUGCUUUCGGUUCUAUCUUCUUUUUUAAGGUACUGUUUGUUUCUCUUGAUUCAAGUUUUGCCUUUUUUUGUUUGUUGUUUGUUUGUUGUUGAGGUUUUGGAUCUUUGGUUUUGGGUUGGAUUUGAUAUAUGUAAGAAAUUUAAUCAUGUUGCAGCUUUCAGUUUCUGGGUUUUUUUUGGUUUUUGGUUUUAUUCUUUUUUGCUGUUGGGUUUGGCUGGAAGUUAAAGAGUGUUUUUGUUUCUGGUAUGUUUGCUGGAUCCCUAGUUCUAAUUUUCUUUUUGUUGGUAAUAUUAUUUUGCUGUGAUUUGCUUGUGCUUUGAUAUUCUGGUUUUAAUGGUUUUCAGGCUUUCCGAAUGUAUGAGCUUUAAAGUUGAUUUGAUGAAAGAAAGGUCACAUGUUGCUAUGCAUUCGGAUCUUUGAAGAUGGUCGAUAGAGAAACAUGAAUUAGUGUAAAUUUGAAGGGUGAUAUCAUACCUUGUCUUUUAGGAUACAGCUGAGAAAAUUUAUUACUCUUAAGCAGUUAGAAUGGGUUCAUAUUCUGGUACCCGUGAAAUCGUUGAAGCAGGUGAAGAGUUGAAACCGGUACAACGAUCUAGAGGGGCAUACCGAUCACAUUCAGGAUUGGGGGUGGGUAACAAAGAUCGGAAGCCUCCUGUGCUGAAACUGGGAUACAAGGAUUCUCUAGAAGAUGGUGUUAAUCAGCUUUUUGAGGCUAUAAAUCUUAAAGGUCCCAAAGGUUUAAGUGUUUCGUACCAAGGAGGCGCAAUCUCAAGCUCUUUAAAGAAAAAUGCACUGAAGAAGCCAAUUACAGUGGGGAUGCCUCAAUCCCCAAGAAUAGGUGGUUCAGAGCCGUUGUCACUGAAACAGGCAUUAAGGGAUCUUUGCAUUUCCAAGGCAUCAGAAAUGGCUGCUAUGAAACGUUUGUCAAUGUCAGCUAGUUCUCCUGGGGUCUCUGAAGCUGGAAGGAUAAAAAGUUUGUUCAAUUCAGUUGUAGUUGAAGCAGCCAGUGGAUCUGGUCUUCCCAGAGAUGAAGAUAAGGGGAGCAGGGUAGAAAUAUCUUUGGUGCCUGAAGAAAGCAAGUCAACUUCUUCUAGGAUGACGGCUGUGCCACAUCAAGCUCCCAACAUAAAGUCAUUGAGCCAAAAUGCUAAUUCUUCACCUCGAUUUGCUCGUGCAACAGCACAAAUUAGCACCGGAAGUUCUAAAUCAACUCAAGCUGAUGUUUCUGUGUCAAGAAAAGUUGGAACUCAACCACCAAAGGCAGAGCUGUAUCAAAAAGAGAAGCAUACUUCUGCAUCUUCUCCAUCUUCUUCUUAUGCUAAUAAUAAUAUGUUAGAAACUGACAAUACUGUACCUGCUUCAACCAAGUUACCAAAAAGAGCAUCAUCGCCAAAGUCGGGACAAAAGGGCAGGGUGCAUGCUGUUGCAUCUUCUAGCUCAAUGAAUGGCAACAGAGUAAGCAGGAUGACAAGAAAUGCACCGCGGGUGGUCAAAACAGUUGUCAGGAACAAAAGUUUGGUCAAGAAGAAAGUAAAGCAGGAUUCCUCUUCUGCCGCCUGCACUGCUAAUUCUUUCAAUGAAGUUAAUAGCAGCUUGGAUUCCACUACGAGUCAAUUAGUUUGUCAGAGAUGCCAAUGCUCUAUGAAGAGUUCAAUUAAUGACUCUAAUCAAGAUUACAUCAAGUCGCAUGCAGCCGGGAUUAGUGCUGAAGUGAGCUCAAGUCAUGUGAAUUCUGAUGUGUGCAAACCCACCUUGGUUGAAAAUAACUCUAACAGAAGCCGAGCUGCCGUUCCAAGGGCUAAAAAGAGCUCAAAAUUAAGAGAAAAUGGAGACUUAUCCCAAAGUUCAAGUAGCCUUGGUGAUAGUAGUAGCACAAGCAUCAGUGAUGACAGCAAUUUAAGUGGGUCUAGUUGUGGCAAUAGACCUCACAUGUCAAAGGACGUGAGGUGGGAAGCCAUCCGCCACAUUAGGAUGCAGGAUGGAGUCUUGGGAUUGAGACAUUUCAAUCUUCUAAAGAAGCUUGGCUGUGGAGAUAUUGGGACAGUAUAUCUUGCUGAGCUUAUUGGCACGAACUGCUUGUUUGCUAUAAAGGUCAUGGACAAUGACUUUUUGGAGAGAAGGAAGAAAAUGCCAAGGGCCCAAACAGAGAGAGAAAUAUUAAGGAUGCUUGAUCAUCCUUUUCUACCUACUUUAUAUACCCAAUUCACAUCAGAUAACUUAUCAUGUUUGGUUAUGGAGUACUGUCCAGGUGGGGAUCUACAUGUCCUUCGUCAAAGGCAGCAUGGGAGAUGUUUUCCAGAGCCAGCAGCUAGGUAAGAUGCUUAGAUGAUGAAAAGUGAAUUUGAAUUAGGAAUACCUUCUAAUAAUUUGAAAUAUCUUGACAAUUGAGAAGUCACUUUUGAUCUUGCCUGUCUGGUUAUUCAUUCAGUUUGAACAUCUAAAGCACAAUAAGUUUUGCAUUAUAUUGCUUGCAUAUCUGGUUAAAGUCAUGAAAAUGUUCUGAUAUCUCUGUGAUAGGUGUUUCCACUUAAUUCACCUUGUAACUCCCCUUAAAUCCAAGUAAACGAGUGUUUUUCUUUAAUAUAGGGUCAUCCUUUCUGUGAAGUUUUAGCUUGUCUCAAAUUUCAAGCUGUGCUGUUUUUACUUGUUGCCUACACUGUGGUGACUGGUGUAGUAUGACAUAAGAGAAGGUCUGUGUUGAAUGAGACCGUUCCAUGCUUCAGUUAAUCUUUUUCGAUCAAUCUGACAUCAAUUUCUGAACUGGUUAUAUAUUAUUUUAUAUUCAGGUUUUAUGUAGCCGAGGUCCUUCUUGCUUUGGAGUACUUGCACAUGCUUGGAGUUGUUUACCGUGAUUUGAAACCUGAAAACAUUCUGGUUAGAGAAGAUGGCCACAUAAUGCUCACAGAUUUUGACCUUUCACUUAGAUGCACAGUUAGUCCAACUCUCUUGAAAUCUUCGUCAAAUUUGGAUCCUGCUAGGAUAUCUGGUCCAUUUGCAGCAUCUAGAUGCGCAGAACCGUUCUGCAUUGAACCAUCCUGUCAGGUCCCAUGCUUCAGUCCUCGGUUCUUGCCUGCUGCUGCAAAAACAAAGAACAAGGCAAAAGCGGACCUUGCUGCCCAAGCCAGAUCACUGCCACAGCUUGUGGCUGAGCCUACUGAUGCAAGAUCCAAUUCCUUUGUUGGAACCCACGAGUAUUUGGCUCCUGAGAUCAUUAAAGGAGAGGGUCAUGGAGCUGCUGUUGAUUGGUGGACCUUCGGUAUCUUUCUUUACGAGCUUCUCUAUGGUAAGACACCCUUUAAAGGUGCAGGGAAUGAAGAAACAUUGGCUAAUGUUGUGCUACAGAGCCUUAUGUUCCCAGACAGUCCUUUUGUUAGUUUCCAGGCAAGGGAACUCAUCAGAGGGCUUUUGGUAAAGGAGCCAGAGAAUAGGCUGGGAACGGAAAAAGGGGCAGCCGAGAUCAAGCAACAUCCUUUCUUUGAAGGCUUGAAUUGGGCUUUGAUACGAUGUGUUGUUCCACCGGAAUUCUAUGAAUUUGGCGUUCCAAGCGUGAUGUCCCCGGACACAAAGAGCAAUUAUUUGGAAUGUGAAGCUACUCGAGAGCACCUUGAAUUUGAGUUAUUUUGAUGAAAACAAGUACUUGAAGGAGAAAGUUUUCACAAUUAAAGGAUCUCCUCCUCUUGUUGUAAUUACAUAUCUAAGCUCGUAAUGUAAAUUUGAUUGAGAAUAUUUGGUAAAGCUGUUACCAGAUUUUAUCAUAUCAGACACCAAAAUCCUUUCUUUCAGCAACUGGUUACCAUAUAAAGUUAUACAUGUUCUCUCCUUCUCAGAAAUCUCAGAAAUUGAUGGUUGAGUUAUUGUUUAUUGAGGGCCUGCAGUGUUUUGUUUCAUCAUAGAUAUUGCAUGGUACUCAAGCAAAGGCCAAUACGGGCAUCAUUAAUAUAUAUUAAUAUAUUCGCCUGAGUCUUUCAUCUGUUGGCCUAGUGGCUAAGAAGUUUUAAGAAAGACGUGUAGGCGUGGGUUUUAACUCCGUCAUCCCCUCUUCUCUCUUGUACCGGCGUUUGCCUUUUUAUAAAAAAAAAAAAAAAAAAUCUUUGCUUGAGAUUUCUGUCUUGCCUCAUUUUCUUUUGUUUUUUUUUUUUUUUUGUUGAUCAGGUUGUUGGUAAUAAACCAUGAAGAUUUUUUUAAAAAAUGAAAUACGUUGAUAAAACUCAAAGAAAUAAAGUAAAUUUAUUUUAGAAUGGGAAAUUUUUUUUUUUCUGUAUAAUAAUUCAUGUAGAACACUUUCAAUUCAAAUUUUCUUGGGUGAAUCUAACCUAGUUUUCUUUUAAUGACCGACUGGAUGGCCCAAAAAUUUUACUAAUUCUCCUCAAUUUUGUAUUGUACCGGUUCUAUAACUUGACAAAAAGAAAAUUCAAAAAUGUUUUAAGAUAAGAAUCUUUCUUACUUAGGGCUAGGGGUAUAUUAUAAUAUUAUACAAUAAACUCUUUUGUAGAUAAUCUUCUAUAAUGAAAAUAAUUAAAAAUUUAUGAUUUAAUUCAAUUAUUUUAUAUAAUUAUUUUCAAAGAAUGAUAUCUAAUAAACCUAAAGUAAUUUUAAAUUUAUUAAAUAUUAUUUUUUAAAAAUAAUUAUAUAAAUUAAUUGAAUUUAACUUAAAUUUAAGAUCGAUCGAUAUUUUUAAGGUCUAGUCUACGCAUCUAUAGUUUUUAUUUCUUUGUAUUUGUGUACACUCAACUUUUGAUGCGCCCAUGAACUUGACUGGAAUUUGUGCUUGCAGAUUAAAGGGUAAAAUGGGCAAUAUAUUUGAAAAAUAAAAAGGAAGUCCAAAUGGUUGGCUUUAAACAAUUAGAUCGGAGACCAUUUCAGUAAGUGUUACGUAUCUUAAUUAAUAUUUAACACUAUCAAAUUAUGUUAAGCCAUUGAUUAAUUUGACCAAUAAACAUGCUACUAAUAUUUGGAAUCACUUGGACACGACAAAAUAUGAAAUAAAAAUAAUUCAUGAAAAAAAAAAAAAAUUAAGCCUGUUUUUGGUAACUAAUUUUAUACACCAAUUCGCUCCCCCCCCCCUUUUUAAUUUUGGAGCAAAGCCAAUGAAUUUAAUAAUUCAAAUUAAAUUUAUUUAUUUAUUAUCAAUUGAUUUUAAAUUAAAUAUUUAAAAAUUUUACGUAAUAAUCAAUUAAUCACUAUGAUAAUCACAUUUGUAAUUAUAAAGCAAUCACCUAACUACCAAUAAAAAGAUACACCUAAUUUAUAAUUAAUAGUUAUGUUAUGGAAAAGUUGACAGAUUAAAGCACCCAGAAUUUCCCACUCGCAGUUCUUGAAGUCAUCUUUCAGUGCUCGCUGCCAACAAAGGAGCACUAUGUAUAAGCAUAUGAAACUAUGAAUCCACUCUUAAAAGAUUUUAUAUAUUUGUUUAUAACUAUGAAUCCACUGAUAAAAAAAUUGCAGAGAGACCCCUGAUAUUUUAUUUAAUAAUAAUUUAGAAUAUACGUAGGAUUUUGUUAAAUGUGCUUGCAUAUGGCAGCUAUAUAUAUGAAGAGAUAUUUUCGGCUUUUGGCAGGUGCACAUCUUUUUCCCGGAAAGACUUACUAGUUAGUGUUAGACCUUUUCUAAUAGACAAAGAAAACGGAUUUGUAUGACUUUGUUAAACCCUUUCCAUUUCCCUAUCUUGUUCUGACUGAAAACCUUUUCCAUUUCUCAAUCUUGUCCUGACUUUGACCAUGUAAGCUGUUGCUGUUGAUUCUGUCAGCUGAUCAUGAAUCAGUACUGUCUUGGGUAAACUCUGACUAAAUUGAUUGUUAACGACUCAACUCAAAUCCAUCUCCUAAGAUUUUGUUUUAUUUUUACAAUGAAAGUUGACAAUGAGAUAAAAAAUAAAUUACAAAAAUUAUGAUUUAAACUUUAAAUUUGUUGAAUAUCAUUUUUUAAGGAUCCAGGCCUAUAUCCUUUUCGGAAGCUCAAGGUAUACAGACAAAGAUAGAAACAUAAACAUUUAAUACUAAAAACAAAACACAACUGCGGCUCACUUAAGUAGCUUUAGGAAACAUCAAAAAUUAAUUAUUUAAAUCUGGUGAUGAAAGUUUGAUGAUUCAGUGGGAUCCCAAAGAGGGAAAUGGGCAUUGCCCUGUUUGGCCACUUGACUUUAGCUUAAAGCUGGCUAUAUAUAUCCAUAUGAUAGAAGAAAGGAGAGGAGACGCCUCCAUUUUCUUCUCUAGACGACAUUGAAAUUAUAGCCCCGCAUAGAUGCAUCUAUGAAAAAAAAAAAAGGGCAAACAAAUAAUUAUUUUUUGGAGCUAGCUAUUCUUCGUUAUCUUAGAGCUAUGAGCUAUUUGUUUAAAAAUUUAUAUUUGAUAUAUUAUCAAUAUAUAAAUUUUAUAUACUAUCAAUAAAUCAAAUGAUAUUAUCUCAUAAAUAAAUAAAUAUAUAAAAAUUAAUAUUUUAAAAAAUUACUUAUUAACGAGAUAAUAUCAUGUUAUUUAUUUUAUUAAUGAGAUGAUAUUAUAUAAUUACUAAUAGUAUAUAAAAUUUAUAUAUCGAUAAUGCAUUAAAUAUAAAUUCUUUGUUUAAUACCAGAAAAAAGACGGAAGAUAUGUUUAGAAAAGCAAAUAAGUAAAUAGAAGGGCCAAAGAGACCAUAGAGAGGAGAAUUUUAUACAUGUUUGGACCUUGGUGAAGAUGGCUAAAGCUUCAUUAGAGAAAAUAUAUAUGUUGAUAUUAAAAAGGCUACAUAUUUUACCAACAACUAAUGUUAGUUCUAGUGAUAAAGAGAAUCUGGUCAUUUUUUUUUGUGGUUGAUUAAGUUUAAAUUCAUUGGAAAUGUAAUUUUUCGUAAAUUUGCUAGAGUUAACAUAAAUAGAUUUAUUUAAAUUGACCCAAACAAAUUAAAAAUGUACUGAACAAAACCUAAAAAUCUCUUAUCAUUAAAAAAAUUGCCAUGUUUUUUAAUUGAUUUAUCAUUUAAAAAAUAAUCUAAAAAAAAGAAAAUGAAACAAAAAUGUUACCAAAAGUCUUGUUUUUGCAAGAAAAAAAAGUAAACUAAAAAACCUUUCCCGAGUAAGAAGCAAAGCAAUCAAUCAGUAAGCCUGCAUUGAAGUAGUAGAUGGAGAAAGAGUUGUGAGGAAAUAAUCAAAGAUCAAUGAGAGCAAGAAACCAUAGAUGAAUGAUAUUAAAUUCAAAGAAAAUAAAAAAAUAUUUCUGACUGCAUUAAAAAAAAUGAAAAUUAAGCCAGCUAUUUAGAAUUAAUCAAAUUAUUAUAAACAAUUAACAGUCCAAACAAAUUGAUAAAAGAAAAUUUAUUUUUUCUGAAUGGACAGUAGCUUGUUUAUCUUGAACAUUGACUUGGCUAUGCAUGAUCAAAUUGAAUCAGCAAUUAAGAAAAUAAAAGGGCUAUGAAAAUGAAGGGUUCAGCAAUAUAAAACUUGAUUCCUACUGCAUGCCUAUGACUGGCCUGCAUUUACAUUUUAUUUUAUUUUUAUCUAUUUGCUUCAGUUUUCCACUGUAAAUACACUUAAUUAUUGAUAGCCAUCAAAGUCUAAAGUCUCAUUCUGGGAUUGCCUGCUUCAAAUUAAUCUGAAUAUACAUCAACAUUUUGAUUUUGUCUACCAAAGUUAUUUUUUAUUAAUGAUACCUAGAUAUCGGAGAAGAGAUUAUAGAUGAUGGAAUGAUCCGAAUCUCAAGCGUGUUGUAUGUUAUUUUUUAAAAAUAAUUAUUAAUGCAUUAUUUAAAAAAAUAAAUACAAAAAUAUAUAGUUAAUGUAAUAUUUUAAAAAAAAUAUAUAGUUAAUGCAUAUUUGCUUUUGAAUUUAGUUAAAACAGUGCAUUAAGAGACCCUAUUUUAUUAAGAAAUUAAAAACCAUUAACCAUUAUCAAUAAACAUUUCCUAAAUUUGAAGCAAUCUUUGUCCCAGCUACCCUUUCAUAGGCGAAAAAAUAUUGUAGGCAACUGCUAACUAGCCUUUCUACCAAUGGCAGACAUUCCUUUCAUAUAUGGUUAAAAUUUAAAGAAACAGAGUGGAAAAUUCACUUGAAAUAUUUUCCAAAAUAAUUUCUUAAAAGGUAAUUAAAAGAAAAAUCUUGAGUGUUGUCUGCUGUUUAAUCCUUAUCAGUUUCUUUUUCCUGGCUCCACUUUCACUCACAUUUUUGCCAAGAAUCCCACUAUCAUCUUCAUGACAUAAAAAUGUAAUUAUGGUAUUUAGAUUAAAUCUUCAACAAAUAUGAAAGAAAGAAAGUAUUUCACUUAUAAAAUUUUAAUUAUUUAAUCAUAAUAAAAAAUUAAAUAAAAAUUUAUUAUUUAUAAAUGUGGAUUAUUAUAAAAUUUUGAUAAAUUCUUAUAAUUUAAAAUUAUGAUUGAUUAAUUAUAAUAUAACAAUUAUAUAUGUUUGAAACAAAUUUGCUUUUUUUUCAAUCGUAUCUAUUGUUAGAAUACUAACUCUUAAUUUGAGUAGGCAAAAUUUAAAUUUUAAGAAACGCAAAUAUAAAAUAAAUUAGCCAAAAAAACUUAUUAAAAAACGUUUUUUUAUUAUAAUUUAUUAAUGUUCAUCAGGUUUUGACCUUCUAGAUUUACCUAAAUUUGCAAAUAUAUAACUUUCUAGAACACGGGGCAAUAAUCUUGUACCACGCGAACCAGUAUGAGCAACAAAAUCCAGCCAGUCACAUGAAUUAUUAGUUUCUUCAGCCAUGCAGUAGUUCGUAAGCAAAAACAAAGAUUCAAUAAAAAUUAUUACUGAAAAAAUAUAUAUAUGGGAUCCAGCUGCAUCACCAUUGAAGUUUCCUAGUUAUAGUGUUAUUCAAAUCUUAACAGAUUUGACUCAAUCUUUUUAUUCAUUCUUUCUCUCAUUUUCCCACUGCCUUUUAAGUACCCCUCCAUUUCUUUCUUUUUUUCCCACACUUUUAUUUUGGUUCAAACAAAGAAGAAAUUCAUGAUAUAGAUAAUCAUAAUUCCGAUUAUCUGAGAAGGAUUUUUUUUGUUUUUUUGGUUUAUAAAUAGUAGUCUGAAUCAAGAAUAACGUACUUAUAAUAUAUCAUGGCGUCAGCUUUGGCUGGAGAUGAUCUAGCAAGGUCGAUGAGCAGCAGCAGGAGGAGCUGGGCGGCAUCGACCAGCCAUAGAAGCUGGGCUUCGGCGAGCUUCAGGGAGGUUUGGCGACCUCCAUCCGAAGUCUUUAACAGGAGCACUGGACGUCAAGAUGAUGAGGAAGAGCUACGUUGGGCUGCUAUCGAGAGGUUACCCACGUAUGAUAGGUUGAGAAAAGGGAUGCUGAGGCAAGUUCUUGAUAAUGGGAGAAUUGUUCAUGAUGAAGUUGACGUUACUAGGCUUGGGAUGCAAGACAAGAAGCAGUUGAUGGAUAGUAUGUUGAAAGUCGUAGAAGAAGAUAAUGAAAAGUUUUUGAGGAGAUUAAGGAACAGAACUGACAGGUAAGCUAAAAAAAAAAUCGUUUUCUUUGGUUUUUGGUUUUAGUUUUUUCGAUUAGAUUGGAUUUGACUUGAUUUAUGGGGUUUCGAUUUGUGUAGAGUGGGGAUUGAGAUUCCACAGAUUGAAGUUCGGUUUAAGCAUUUGAAAGUUGAAGGAGAUAUGUAUGUUGGAAGCAGAGCUCUUCCUACUCUGCUUAAUGUUACCUUGAACACAAUAGAGGUAUUAUUUUCAUUUUUGAACUUUCACAACUAAAUUUUUUUAAUUAAUUCAUUUUUUUAAGUAAUUCUAUUUCUGUGUUUCAAUUUUUCAUAAACAACAGAGUAUACUGGGAUUGGUUUGGCUUGCACCAUCUAAGAAGAGAAAGAUUCAGAUACUUAAAGAUGUCAGCGGCAUAGUCAAACCUUCAAGGUAAUUCCUUGAAAAUUUCGCUUUUUUUUUCCUUUUUUGUUUUCAUUUUGGAUCUGAAAAUUACUAACGUAGAAGCCAAAUCUUACUGUCUAAUUGCCUAUCCCCAAGCUAUCUUUUUGUGAUGAAGUUUUGUUUGAAUUGACAGUUUCCUGUACAGAAAGUGUUCUUUUGUUCCUGUCGAUGAAGCAAACUGUUUCAUUUGAUGAAAUGAAUAGUUUUAUUUUGGUUUUUGUAAUAACUUUGCAUCCAUUAAUAUUUGAAUGAAAAAUUUCAGGAUGACACUACUUCUCGGUCCUCCAGGAGCUGGAAAAACAACUUUGUUAAUGGCACUUGCCGGAAAGCUUGAACAUGAUCUCAGGGUGAGUUUCCUACUCCUUUAAACUAGAUUUCCCCGAAAAAGGUAACCAAGACUGGCUAUAAACUAUUAAAUGAAAUUUGCUUUCUGUUAUGAAUUUAGAUGGUAAAAAAUUUUGCUUGUUUCAAACAAUCUCCUAAUAAAUUGGCUUUUUUCUGAACAGUCAUCUGGAAAAGUCACUUACUGCGGUCACGAAUUGAACGAGUUUAUUCCUCAAAGGACAUGUGCUUAUAUCGGACAACAUGAUCUUCACCAUGGCGAAAUGACGGUGAGGGAAACAUUAGAUUUUUCGGGACGUUGUUUGGGUGUCGGUACAAGAUACGAAAUGCUUUCAGAGCUCUCAAGGAGAGAGAAAGAAGCUGGGAUUAAGCCAGAUCCUGAGAUCGAUGCAUUUAUGAAAGCCACAGCAGUGGCAGGCCAAGAAACAAGCUUGGUGACAGAUUAUAUUCUUAAGGUCAGUAUUCUUUUCUUUCGAGUUAUUGGUUUGGAGCAUCUCUUUAAUUACAAGGGAACUGACAUUUGUAAAAGUUUCUAACAGCUACUUGGAUUGGAUAUUUGUGCGGAUAUCAUGGUCGGAGAUGACAUGCGUAGGGGUAUUUCCGGUGGGCAAAAGAAGCGUGUGACAACAGGUAUGUUUUCUGGAACAAGUUUAAGCAUACCAACUUUUGCCUAACAUAGGAAGAAUUCGUGUGUUUCAUAGUUCUUUUGUUUUAGUUCAAGUCCCUUUCUAGUAUACGUUGAGAUUCCAAGACAUGCUCAUUGGUGAAGUUGUUCAUUACCUUAUGUUUGUGUGCUAAACUCAUAAAUACUUUGUCAAGGGUUGGUUGAGUUGGUAAGAUUCGAAUAUUUGACUUGUAAGGUUCAAAUUCGAGUCCCACUGCCAGCAGUCUCCAUUGAUGGGCGAUCUAUAAAUUCAACCUCUUUGAGGCCUGCACUCUGCCCUGACCCUGAAAUAGGAAGCUUACCCAGUUACCCUCACUCUAAACUUUUUGUAACAAAAAAAAGAAAAAAAUCCUAAGUACUCUUCACAGGCAGUUGUGUUUUCAUGUAAAUGGUUCUUUAGCAUUCUUUUCUUUUCUUUUUCCUUUAUCUAAAGCUUAGAUUUCAAAUAUUUUAAUAAAAUCAGCCAUAUUAGUAACCUUAUUUUCCUAUCUUCAUGAUUUUUUUUUAACCCUUCAGUUCUUCUAUAAGCAGUUAUGCUUACUUAGGCAUUGCUAGUCUAAUAGUAGUUUCUAUUUGACUUGAUUGCAGGAGAAAUGUUGGUUGGACCAGCAAAGGCUUUUUUUAUGGAUGAAAUAUCAACAGGAUUGGACAGUUCUACUACUUACCAGAUUUGCAAGUUCAUGAGACAAAUGGUUCAUAUCAUGGAUGUAACCAUGGUCAUUUCUCUUCUACAGCCAGCACCAGAGACAUAUGAUCUUUUCGAUGACAUUAUCAUCCUUUCAGACGGUGAAAUUGUCUACCAGGGUCCACGUGAGAAUGUCCUGGAUUUCUUUGAAUAUAUGGGAUUUAAAUGCCCUGAAAGAAAAGGAGUUGCUGACUUUCUGCAAGAAGUCACUUCCAAGAAGGAUCAACAACAAUACUGGUCCAAAAAGAACCAACCUUACAGAUAUGUUUCAGUUUCUGAUUUUGUCCACGGCUUCGGUUCCUUCCACAUUGGCCAGCAGCUUGCAUCAGACCUUAGGGUUCCCUACGAUAAGUCCCUAACCCACCCUGCUGCCUUAGUUAAAGAAAAAUACGGUAUUUCCAAUUGGGAGCUGUUCAGGGCAUGCUUUGCAAGGGAAUGGUUGCUAAUGAAGCGAAGUGCUUUUGUAUACAUAUUCAAGACUGUCCAGAUAACAAUCAUGUCGCUGAUAGCCUUGACUGUCUUCCUGAGAACAGAAAUGCCUGUGGGCAAUUUCGGAGACGGUGGAAAAUUUUUUGGAGCCCUAUUUUUCAGUUUGGUCAAUGUGAUGUUCAAUGGAAUGGCGGAACUUGCAAUGACUGUUUUCAGGCUUCCUGUCUUCUAUAAACAAAGAGACUUCUUGUUUUAUCCUGCAUGGGCUUUUAGCCUACCGAUUUGGGUCCUUAGGAUCCCACUAUCAUUUAUGGAAUCAGGGAUAUGGAUUGCCCUGACAUACUACACAAUUGGCUUUGCUCCAUCUGCUACCAGGUAAGCAACAAUAAAUUUCAUUUUUCUAUUGAUCAUCAUGUUAUGUUAUCGUUAACUUUAAGUGAAUGACAUUAUAGUUUUAGUAGUUUCUUUGACAAGACACCUUUUCUUUUAAUCUCCAGGUUCUUCCGACAAUUCUUGGCAUUCUUUGGCAUCCAUCAGAUGGCGUUGUCCCUCUUUAGGUUCAUUGCUGCAGUGGGGAGAACACAGGUUGUUGCAAGCACAAUGGGUACCUUCACCUUGCUAUUGAUUUUUGUACUUGGAGGUUUUAUCAUUGCCAAAAGUAAGUAGCUGACUUCUCUUUAUAGCUAAAAGAUGUUUAUAGUUAAAGCACUAAGCAAGUUUUUAUCCCUAAUGUCUGAUAUUAAUCUUCUUUUUUAUCCUUGAUCUUUUGUUUCAGUUCAAGUAUUCUAACACAUUUGUUACCUGCAGAUGACAUCAAGCCAUGGAUGAUCUGGGGCUACUAUGUUUCUCCUAUGAUGUAUGGACAGAAUGCCAUAGUCAUAAAUGAAUUCCUCGAUAAAAGAUGGAGUGCUGUAAGAUCUUCCAAGUCUUCUUGUUUUUUAUUUUUUAUGCUUAUAGUUAUAUAAACUUUGGUUAGGCAUAGAUGAUUUCGUUUGCCAUAAGCCAUAAUCAAUAUCUUACACGGAAUUAUCCAAUGCAGAUCAACCCAGACCGCAGAGUUGAUGCACCAACGGUGGGGAUAGGUCUUCUCAAGACCAGAGGCUUCUAUACAGAAGAAUAUUGGUAUUGGAUUUGUGUUGGAGCACUCUUUGGCUUCUCCAUUCUCUUCAACAUUUUAUUCACUGGAGCAUUGACUUUCCUGAAUCGUUAGUGACAUUCUCUCAUUUGACUAACAAUUGUUUGUAUUUGAAUAGAUUUUCAGUAUUGACUUGUCACUUAUACGUGGAUUGAUUAAUUUUCAGCUCUGGGUGAUUCCAAAGCAGUAGUUGCCAAUGAAGAUGAAAACAAGAAGACUAAAAAUCCAUACUCAGGCGGAAAAAGACCAGAAGGUAAGUGAACAUUUUUUAAGCUUUGAGUUCAAAGGGUUAAUGUAAAUUUGUCAUCAAAACUUGUAUUCAUUCACCUUAUGCCAUCUUUUGUGAGUGCUUAAGUUUUCUGAAUGAUUACAGGUAUCGAUAUGCAAGUAAGAAACUCUUCAGAUAUCGUGGAUGCUGCAAGACGCAGACCUAGAAAAGGAAUGGUUUUGCCUUUCCAACCUCUUUCACUUGCUUUCAACCAUAUUAACUACUAUGUGGAUAUGCCUGCGGUAAGUUACUUUUAAUCUUAAACAUUUCAAUUUCCGUUUGGUAACUGACAUGUUGUCGAAGACAGUUUUAGAGUUUAAUGAGGAAACAUUGAGGUGAAAUCUUGGUUUCUUUACCAGGAAAUGAAAACUCAAGGAAUUGAAGAAGAUCGUCUUCAGCUGCUACAAGAUGUUAGUGGUGCUUUCAGACCAGGGAUAUUGACAGCAUUAGUGGGUGUCAGCGGUGCUGGGAAGACAACCCUGAUGGAUGUUUUAGCAGGAAGGAAAACAGGUGGAUACAUUGAGGGAAAUAUCAGCAUCUCUGGUUACACGAAGAACCAAGCAACAUUUGCUCGUGUGAGUGGUUACUGUGAACAGAAUGACAUCCACUCCCCAAAUGUCACUGUUUACGAAUCUCUCCUGUACUCAGCUUGGCUCCGUCUUGCUUCUGACAUAGACACCAAGACCAGAAAGGUUGCUGAAAACAAAUUUUCUUCUCUUCUUAUCAGCAAAGCUCCUAUUGUAACCUACAUAUUCAAUUUUUUUCUUUGUAUAGAUGUUUGUUGACGAAGUUAUGGAGUUAGUUGAGCUAAAACCAAUAAGGGAUGCUUUAGUUGGACUUCCAGGAGUUGAUGGUCUUUCAACAGAACAACGGAAGAGGUUGACAAUAGCAGUAGAAUUGGUUGCUAAUCCUUCUAUCAUCUUUAUGGAUGAGCCAACUUCUGGACUUGAUGCCAGAGCUGCUGCAAUUGUUAUGCGUACUGUGAGAAACACUGUGGACACAGGGAGAACUGUUGUGUGCACAAUUCACCAGCCUAGCAUUGACAUCUUUGAAGCUUUUGAUGAGGUAAAACUCAAUCAGCUAGAUUCUUUUUUGGGAAUUUUGACACUUUUGUUUUCAUUUUUAUUACCUGCAUUCAACUUGGUAUUGUGAUUUGUUGCAGUUACUGUUGAUGAAAAGAGGAGGGCAAGUCAUUUAUGCUGGACCUCUUGGUCGCCACUCUCACAAGCUCAUAGAAUAUUUUGAGGUGAGAGUUUCUAUUUUUAGUGCACUAGUGUCUGCUGCAUACACUAUCUCAUCACAUGUACAAUGUAUUUCUUCCUAAGCAAAUACAAUUAAGCAAGAACUAAAAUGCAUUUUCUGCUACAGGCUGUCCAAGGGGUUCCAAAGAACAGGGAAGGAUACAAUCCGGCAACAUGGAUGCUUGAGGUCAGUGCUCCUCCAAUUGAGGCUCAAUUGGAUGUGGAUUUUGCAGAUAUUUAUGCUAACUCUUCACUUUACCGGUAAGUUUAACUGUAAUGCCAUAGCUUAGACUUUAGGCAGUAAAAUUUUUUUCCUUGACCUUGCAGAUAUUUGUGCUCAAUUUCUAUUUUUACAAACUUUCAGGAGAAAUCAGCAACUAAUCAAAGAGCUCAGUACCCCAGCUCCAGGUUCCAAGGAUCUAUUCUUCCCAACCCAAUAUUCCCAACCAUUCCUUACGCAGUGCAAGGCCUGCUUCUGGAAACAGCACUGGUCUUACUGGAGGAACCCCCAGUACAAUGCCAUCAGGUUCUUAUUGACAAUAAUUAUCGGUGCCUUAUUCGGUCUUAUCUUCUGGAACAAAGGAAAACAAACGUAAGUCCUGAAUUUUCUUUGUUUUGGUUAUGAACAAUAUAUUUUCUACACCUCUACUUUUUUACUAGUGACUGAAAAUUUGGCAUUAACCAAAAAUAUUUUGAUAACCAGAGCAAGACAGCAAGAUCUGAUGAAUCUUGUUGGAGCAAUGUAUUCUGCCGUGCUUUUCCUUGGAGCAACCAAUGCUUCCGCUGUGCAAUCUGUUGUUGCAAUAGAGAGAACAGUCUUCUACCGUGAAAGAGCAGCCGGGAUGUAUUCUGAAUUGCCUUAUGCAUUUGCUCAGGUAAACUUGAUUGGUUUUUUCUGUUCUAGAGGAGCUUAAUUGUUCUCAUACUUACAAAAUCAAAUGCUUGACUUAAAAAAAAAAUCUUUUUACUUCAGGUGGCUAUAGAGACAAUCUAUACUGCAAUUCAAACGCUCAUUUACUCUUUAAUUCUUUACUCGAUGAUUGGAUUUGAGUGGAAGGCCGCAAAUUGCUUAUGGUUCUAUUACUACAUAUUAACAUGCUUUGUCUACUUCACUUUGUACGGGAUGAUGAUUGUUGCUCUAACACCGGGCCAUCAAAUUGCUGCCAUUGUCAUGUCCUUCUUUCUUAGUUUUUGGAAUUUGUUCUCUGGUUUUCUCAUUACGAGGACGGUGAGCCAUCUCAAACUGUCAUUAACUGUCCUUUUCCAGUUAGCUUGUUAUUUGAAUAAUCCUCUAAAAGUUUGAUUUAUUCAUUCAUUGUAGCAAAUCCCUAUAUGGUGGAGAUGGUAUUAUUGGGCUUCUCCUGUGGCUUGGACACUGUAUGGCCUUGUGACGUCUCAAGUGGGUAACAUUGAUGCUCCUAUUGAGGUCCCCGGCGAGCCUAAUGUGACAGUAAAAAGCUUCCUUAAACAAUACUUUGGUUUUGAAUAUAGUUUUCUUCCGGCAGUUGCGGCGGCUCAUAUCGGCUGGUGUCUCCUCUUUUUCUUUGUAUUUGCUUAUGGUAUCAGGUUCCUCAAUUUCCAAAGAAGAUAACUUAGAAAACCAACAUGCAAGUAGUCGAGUUAUUUUAAGAUGAACGAAAGCCUUAAACCUUUUCUUUUGUCAUUUUCAUCUUGUGUAUUUAUAUUCAUUCUUUUCUCCUGGUUUUCCAUAAAGGCGCCUGCCAUUGUGCUGCUGUAAAAGAGACGUCAAUAUCUUAAAGAAUUACCUUGAUAUAAAAUGAAUUUUUUGUUUGGAUGAAACGCCUGUUCAUCCUGACAACAAUUCUUGUUAGUGGUCACUAUGGGAAACUUCAAGCACUGGAGAGUAAUCCAGUGGCUGCAAUUGUGCUUCUUUCAAUGAAGAUAGUUGACACCAAUAAUUUUUCUUAAUUUCAAGUUUCUAGAAUAUAAAAGGAUUCUACGAAGCAAGCAAAAUGGCAUUUAAGUUCAUAUCAAGGUGUGGAUUUGUAUAUUGUAUAAUUAAAUGUUGCAAAAUAAAAGAAAUUAAUAUGACCCAUCCCUUCUCCCUCCGUUCCCACAAAGGAAAAAUGAAAAAUAAAAAGUUUUUUUCACUCAUUGUCAGUAAUUUCAGAGCUUGAUCCAUUUCCAUUAUGAUCGACAGCACCAUUGGCCACAGCUCUAUUCCUCUUUGAAUCUUUUUCAUCCUCAUCUUCGCUGUAUUCACUCUCAUAAUCAUCAUAUUCAUCUUCUUCUUCCUCCUUUUCCUCUUCAAUCCCCUCUUCCAUAGCAGCUCCCUCUUCUGACAAAGGAGCUGUCCUUGUACCUGCUCGACUCCGUUUCAAUAUUCUGAUCUUCAAGUUUGUCUUCUUAUCACAACCAAUCCAAGAGUCACACAAGCAGAAUGCAUUCAAGUUGUAAUUUGCCUCAGCGGGAGCUUGGAACUUGCCCAUUACUAACCUUGACCCACUCUUUACUCUCCCAAUAGCUUCUCUAACAGCUGCAUUUGUCUCCUUCAGGCUUGCCCCUGACCCUUCCUUCAACUCUUGAAUUGCUUUAGACGCCGCUGCUAUGGCCACAUUCUCAUCCAUGAAGCUCACCUUUUGGGAGAUCCAAACAUCAUUGGAGACAGAGUCAGCGAGCAGUAACCAAAAAUUCUCCUCCUUGUGGAAGGGGAAGUACGGAGCAUGAGCAAGAGCAGCAACAAGGCCACUCCCACGCUUGAGUGUGAUCCAAGCAUGGAUCGUGACAAUAUCACCCUCUUGUAUCCCCUCUUCACCUUCUGUCUCACAAGUGAUAUCAAUUGUCAAAGAAGGCAUCAUUUCUAGAACCAUCUCCACAUCUUUGGUUUCAGCAGUAGAUAACCCUGCAACCUGAGUCAGCAGUUCAAAUCGGUCUUCCAAGGUCAUGUCACGAAGAUCUUGAAACAUUCGCACUUUCUGCAAACAAAACGAAAGAGAAUUUUCAAACCAAAUAGCAUUAGGAAACGGAUGCAAAAUGUUCAACAAUGCCACGUCCCCCAUGAUUUAUGCAUGUUACGUCACAACAUCAAGGCAACAUCUUGUUUUAUAGAGAAUUUGCCAAUCUGUACAAGUAACAAUACAACAUUUUCACCCCGUUUCUCAGACAAUUGAACCAUUACCAUGAAUGUGAAAUUUUCAUUCCAAAGUCUCCCAGGCUUAGAUAAUGAACCAGGGUUUUUCUUUCUCAUCCACAAAUAACUUUAUCCAAAAACAUGAUCAAAUGGUUGACAUAGAGUGUGUCUUGAGACAUAUUAUAUUAACCAAGCACCAAAGCAGUAUAACCUAAAAUGGAGCCUAGAUAUAUGUGGUAACAUAGAAUUACUGCAGAUGCAUCAGGACUCUUUUAGUCAGUACAAAAACCAAUAAAAUAAGCAUAUCACUACCUUCCGUGCUAUCUUUUUUACUAUGGCUUCAUUAAAAUGCGGCAGCUGUAGAAAGGGUGCAACACCUUCACUAGAUCCCCCAGCAAUCUUUCUAGCACUUAGCGGAACUGCCUGGUCCAAUGAAUAAAUAAAUCAUCAAAAUACAAAAAAAUUAAUCAUUUUGUUGAGAGAUAUUACAGUAUUGGAAAAUUAACUCUCUUCUAAUAAAAAUAAAAGAGAAUGACUAGAUAUAACAGUAUUUAAACAAAUGGCAGUGACAGCCCAAGCUAUAGAAAUAUUAGAAGAGAGUUUACAAAUGGGAUUUCCUUUGAAAAAUUGUCAAAGGAAAGGUAAGAAAACUUUGACAUUUUUGGUCGAAUACAAUAGGAAUAGAAAAAUGAAAGGAUUGUCAAAAGUGUCACACAUACAUAUUGACAACUGAUAUGAUAGUAAUACUAGACCAAAAAGUAAUAUUCCACUUCAAUCUCUAGUAGGCUAAUUCUAAUUAGCAAAGCCUAUUUUAGGUCAGUUUAGGAAACUAAUCCUUUCAGAAGAAAAAAUUUUAUGCUCACCUGAAUGCUUAGAACAUGUAAAAGCAAACAAUAUGCUGCAUAGUCAUGCCUUCUAAUUAACAUUUUUCCCUUUGAUAGGUUGCAAAUGACUAUAUAGAUGGAGGUAACUAAACAUAAUAUUGGCACUGAAAGUGGCACCAUAAAAUCAUUCACAAAGAAUGCACCAAAUUUUCCAAGGAGUGUACAGACAUACCUGAAUGAUAUUCUGUGAAAGCUCAAUCACACCAAUCGCAGGUCUCAACCAUCCAUGCCCUUGAGCAGUGCGUGGUACUAAUGCCAUCUGUAUUCAUAUAUAACAUACUGACUGAUACAACUUCCAAAGAAUGCAGAAUAUUUUGGGUUGUAAGCUUCGUUUGUUCAGAAAAGUAGAAUAAGAUAGCAGAAUAACUAGUAAACAUACUCACACAUCAGUGCCUGCUACAAAGCAAUAUGGCUUUGCAGUCUAGGAAUUUCAACAAGAAGUUUUCUAUAUUCUUAGUUUUUCCACAUGAUAUCAGAGCUUUAGGCUCUUCUUGGGAAGAAAAAUUUUUUUCAGCCUUCAUUGCUAAAUUCUAUUUCAGGCCUUCAUAGCCAAAUCCUGUUAAGUCUUUCAUAAUUUUAUUUUUUUUCCUUCUUUGGCCUUCAUUGCCUAGAAAGGCAAUUGUCUCUGGUUAAACCUUUAUUAUCAAGACUCGUUUCAGUACUAGGAAAGAUAACCAUGCCAGAGAUAGCAGAAUUUGUCCAAUUUGAGGAAGUGACAAUUGGUAAAACCACUAGAAUACUACAGAAGUCUUGGAAAGAAAGAGAGUUGCACAAAGAAGAUAUUGAGAAACUGAGAAUCCUAUUGAAAACCCUUGAAAAGCCUACUGAGGUAUGUUCUUUUGGUAAGAUCUCUAGUUCAGGUAAAGUUUCUGAUUCUCAUGGAUUAAAUAUCUUGGUUAAGUCUAUUAUGAGUUCUUAGGUCAUUGACUCAAGAGCCACAGACCACAUGACACAUUUCUCACAGAAGUUUAGUACAUAUAUCGUAUCCUAGUAAUAAGAAAAUUGUUGUUGCAGAUGGCUCACUUACUACAGGAUUAGGAGAUGUUCAAAUUAAUCCCUCAUUUGUUCUUAAAAAUGUUCUUCAUGUUCCUGGAUUGUUUACUAAUCUGAUAUUUAUACAAAAACUUACUAGAGAUAUGAACUGCAAAGUGACUUUUUAUCCCUCCUAUUGUGAAUUUCAAGACCAAAGUUCAGAAAAGAGGAUUGGACUCACUAAAGAGAAAGAUGGACUAUACUAUCUUGAGACAUCAAACAACAUAAGCAAUAUUAAGAACAGUUUACCUUUAUCAUUUCUUUUUUAAAAAUCUCAUAAUAAAGACAAAAUCUGGCUUUAUCAUUUUCGUCUUGGACAUCGUUUUUUUAGAACUUUGAAAAACAUGUUUCCUUCUUUGUUCAAAGGAUUAAAUGUCAAAAAUUUUCAUUGUAAUGUUUGUGAACUUGCAAAGUAUAGACGUGUGUCUUUUCCAAUUAGCAAGAAAAUAAGUCCCACUCCUUUUUACUUGAUUCAAAGUGACAUAUGGGAUCCCUCUACAAUUCUUAAUAUUUAUGGUGCAAGGUGGUUUGUUUCAUUCAUAGAUGAUUGUACCAUGGUUUCUUGGAUUUUUUUACUUAAAUCCAAAUCAGAUGUGAAUAGGGUAUUUUUAAGCUUUCAAAACAUGAUCCAAAAUCAAUUUGGAGUGAAAAUCAAGAAAUUUAGGUCUGACAACGCUAAAGACUAUUUCAACCAAAGUCUAUCUACCUAUUUUCAAAAAAAGAGGAUUAUCCAUGAGUCAUCUUGUGUUAAUACUCCACAACAUAAUGGAAUGGCAGAGAGGAAAAACAACCAUUUACUAGCCACAACCCGAGCUGUACUUUUUCAAGCAAACAUACCCAAAUUCUACAAGGGAGAAGCUGUUGUCACUGCCACACACAUUAUAAAUAGGUUACCUUCAAGGGUUUUGGGAUUUAAAACUCCUAUGGAAGUCUUCUCACAAUUCUAUCUUAACUUUAAUACCACAAACAACCUUACACCUAGGAUAUUUGGUUGUACAUCAUUUGUUCAUGUUCAUAGUCAUAAUACGGGGAAAUUGGAUCCAAGAGCAGCUAAGUGUAUUUUUGUGGGGUAUUCAUUAACUCAAAAAAGGUAAAAGUACUAUCAUCAUGCUACAAAAAAAUUCUGUGUUUGUUGAUGUCACUUUUGAAAAAAGUAAACCAUUUUUUACUCAACCUUAUCUUCAGGGGGAGACUGCAUUCAUGGAAGAUAACGAUAAAGACUUUUUUUUGUUUGACUUAUCUUCCUCCUCGACAUUUUCACCCAUUAAUUCUUCUAAGUAUAAACCUGUUUUUUUUUUAGUUCAACUCAAACACUGAAUUUAAGUCUGAACCCAUUCCAAAUAUAGAAGCUGUGACUAAGGAUAAUACUGUUCUUGAUUCCAUAAAGGAAUUACAGGUGUACUUAAAAAGGAAAGUUCCAAUUCCCGAACCGGUGAAAGUCUAAGAAUCUAAUCCUAACUCUGGAAAUGAGGUAAUUGCAAUCUCUGACUCUAUUUCUCAAAAUGAGCACGAAUCUCCUAAAACUAAAACUAGUGACUAUGAUCUACUUAUUGCAUCAGGAAAAGAACCAGAAAAUGUACUAAGCAUCCACUAUACUCAAUCUCUAAUUUUGUGUCAUUUGAAAAAUUCUCACCAUCCUACAAAAGUUUCCUUGUGAGCCUAAACACUAUUUCUAUUCCAACUACAUUAUCUGAGGCAUUAUCAAAUAAUAAAAGAAGACAGGCCAUGAAAAUAGAAAUGGAGGUCUUAGAGAAAAGUAAGACAUGGGAACUGGUAAAGUUGUCUAAAGGAAAAAUCCAAUUGGGUGUAAAUAGGUUUUCAUUGUAAAAUAUAAGGCGGAUGGUACUAUUGAAAGGUAUAAGGCUAGGUUGGUGGCUAAGGGCUACACUCAAAAUUAUAAAGAGGAUUAUCAAGAAACUUUUGCUCCAAUUGCCAAGAUGAAUAAAAUUAGGAUUUUGUUAUCCCUGGCUGCAAAUUACAAUUGGCAGCUUCAACAAUUGGAUGUAAAGAAUGCUUUUCUACAUGGUGAUUUGGAAGAAGAAAUAUAUAUGAAGAUUCCACUAGGAUUUGGAGGUUAUCUAGAAGUAAACAAAGUAUGCAAGCUGAAAAGGCUUUAUAUGGCCUUAAACAGUUUCCUAGGGCCUGGUUUGGGAGAUUUGCCAAAGUGAUGUUAGCAAUGGGAUAUAAGUAGAGUCAAGGGGAUCACACACUGUUUAUCAAGCACUCGGAUUCAAGGAAAGUCACAAUUCUGUUAGUAUAUGCUGACGAUAUAAUUGGAACAGGAGAUGAUGAAAAAGAGAAAGAAUCUCUAAAACAGUGUUUGGCCAGAGAAUUUGAGAUAAAAGAGCUAAGGAGAUUGAAAUACGUCCUAGGAAUUGAAGUAGCUCAUUCAUCACAUGGUAUUUUCAUCUCACAACAAAAAUAUGUGAUGGAUCUUUUGAAGGAAAUUAGGAAGGUGGCAUGUAAACCUGCAAGUACCCUUAUAGAUCCUAAUCAUAAACUUGGAAAAGCUAAUGAAGAUGCUGUUGUAGAUAGAGAGAUAUACUAGAGAUUAGUUAGAAGGCUCGUUUAUCUCUCACAUAUUAGACUUGACAUAGCAUAUGUUGCGAGUGUGAUAAAUUAAUUUAUGCAUAGUCCUAAAGAAGUGCACCUACAGGCAAUCUACCGUAUACUACACUAUUUGAAAGUCAAUCCUUGGAGAGGUAUCUUGUUCAAAAGAAAUUCGAGGCUAGUACGGGAGGCAUAUACAGAUGUUGAUUAUGCAGGUUUGGUAAUUAAUAAAAGAUCUACCUCAAUCUACUACAUUUUCCUAGGCGGUAAUCUUGUAACUUGGAGGAGUAAAAAACAUAAUGUGGUGACAAGGUCAAGUGUUGAAGCAGAGUUUAGAGCAAUGGCUCAAGGAAUUUGUGAACUACUAUGGUUAAAGAUUAUCCUAGAAGACUUGAAGAUCAAGUAGGAUGGACCGAUGAAACUCUACUGUAAUAACAAGUCUGCAAUAAGCAUCGCACACAAUCCUUUGUGCAACAUGACAAAACAAAACACAGUGAAGUAGACCGGCACUUCAUAAAGGAGAAACUAAACAAUGGGUUGAUUUGCACACUAUAUGGUAUCAACCAAGGGUCAACUUGCAGAUGUGUUGAUUAAAGGUCUCAACAGUGCAACAUUUCAAGAAAUUAGUUCCAAGCUGGGAAUGGAAAACACCUAUUCACCAACUUGAGGGGGAGUGUGGGAAAACACUUAGUUAUAGCUAGUUGUAAUCUAUAUAUAUUUGUAUACUUAGAAUUAAGGACAGAAAAUUAGGACAGACAAUAUCUUAAUUAUAGGGAUCAAAUUUAAGAAGAUUUAGUUUCCUAGUUUACCCUCUAGUUAGCUGUAUAUAAACUUAUGGUGCUUGUAUAAUUCAACAGUGAAAUUUUCUAUAUACUCAAUUUUUCCACAAAUCCUUCAAAACCCUUAGAUGUCCCAACAAUACCAAAAAUUUUCAAGAAUAAUGUGAGCAAUAAAAAAAUCCAGAGCUAUUCUUAUCAAUAUGUUCGAAUGUUGAUGCAUGUGCAAGAGAGGAUUUUCAAAAAUUGUGUGUCACAAAAUCCAUUAAUGUGCUAGAAGAUCUAAGAAAUCUAACUGCACCUUCAUUAGUUCCUCAAGUAGGCGGGGUGAAACCUCAAGCAUGUGUCUCAAAUCACGAAACAAGGCUGGAGUCAGAGCUGCAGACUCACGAGUCAACUGGGCUUGUAUCAACAACUCAGCCUGAAAAGUAGAAAGGUGAGUAAUGUAAAGCAGCAAGAACCAUUAGCCCUUCAAAGUGUUUGAAAUAGUAAGAUACUAAAAGAAAUAGAGAAAGGCAUGAACAUGAACCACCUUUACAACAGCUGGGUGUUGCUUCCAAAACUUGGCUUGUUCUUGACGAAUAUUCUUAAGGUCCAAGUUCAGCUCGCUCCUAACCAACACGAAUAAUUUCUGAAGGGGUUCCCCAUCACUUCGCCGAACUGGGAUUUCCAUGAAUUCUGCAGCUUUUAUAAAGACAUCCAGGACCUUGCUGCAAAUAUACACUACUAUUGAUAAAACCAAAACAAAAACAAGAGCAAGCCUUAUUGAACAUGAUCAACAAGAGUAUAAUUUAUGAUAGCUUUUAAUUUGACACUCUGGCUUCAAGUCUCUACUAUGUCAAGCACCAAUGCAACUAGGAAUAAGGGGAAAGGAACCUGUCAUUAACCUAUUUGAAUUGUUGGCCGGUAGGAAAAUUUUGAGCAAUUACGAAAAAGGUCAUCUCAAGGUCUCUAUAUAUUUAGAACACAAAGCAGUAGUUAAUUUUUUAUAAGUGUUUCACAAUAAACAUCAAAUAACAAAUCAACAUGGAGGAAAUUUAUAUACCUUGGAGCUAAAGAAGGUUUCAUGAAGUAGUAGUAGGCUGACAAUGUUUGAUGCAUCACAUAAUUUCCAGUAUAUUUGGCUGAUCUUGAGAGAUAUAUAACAGCCAACAUCAAAGGCAGAAGAAUGCAUACUCCAACUAUUCCCAGCAGAAGUAUUCCACCCGAUGCUCCAUCAAUAUUCAGCAGAAAUGGAGGUAGGGCUAUACCCAUUUGAAGACCCUAAAUUAUGAAUCCAGUGAAAAUUGACAACAAAUCAGAAUCAAACUCUUUCGUUUAUGAACCUGAUAUUCUGCUGGAAUGAAAGAUGAAACAAAGAAUUUUAUUACCUGCCUGCCAUCUGGGUGGCCAUACUUUUCAAAAUUCUCCCGAGAGACUGGAUCUGUCAGGGCUUGAUAAGCUUUUGAAAUGUAUUCAACAAAAUAAUCAUGGGCCUCUGAGAUGAAAGUGAAGGAGGAAAAGGUUGAAAAGUAUUAGGUCUUCGAAAGGAAAAAAAAUUAAUGUGCUGCAAAAAGCAGAUAUGGAAACAACAAAUAAAACCUAUAACCUGGAUCUGGAUUUUUAUCAGGAUGAUACUGUAUUGAAAGUCUCCUAUAUGCCUUCUUUACUUCUGAAUCUGAGGCUCCAGGUUCUAAACCAAGAAUACUAAAUGGCUCAAACACUUUAACCUGAUAAGCAAGAAAAAAGGAGAUGAAUCAUGUUCUAUCAUGGGAAACAGCCGAAGACACCACGUGCAGAAUAUACACCAUCAAAGAAAGAAUUGAUAAAAAUAAAGGUUGCUUCCAUUAAUACAUUAAUACAUGAUCAUGCAGAUAUUAAUAUAUUACCACUCAUUCCAUAUUCACAAAAUCAAUUAGGGGAGAAGUAUAUCUAAACUUUCUCAAUCCACACAUGAGAUUUAAAUUCUUCACCUAAAACCCAAAGUUCCAUCAUAUAAAAGGAUGAGGUAGGAGCUGACUACAAGAUUAAAUCAUGUUGUCAGCAGAUAUUAAGAACAAAUGUGUACCUCAUGACUCGUAUUCUUGAUAUAAUAUAUCAGCAUCACCAUGACAAUCCAAAGAAGUACAAGGGUCAGAUUACUACACGUUGAGAAGUUCGAGAUCUGCAAAAAUGUAAAGCAAAGUAUCACAAAUAUUACAUAACAUUGUCACUCAAAUACCAUUCCUAACCAUGAAUAAAAUGAUAUUGGGAGCAAAUUUACCCGUUUGAAAACAGAUUUCCUAUACUUUCCAGAACGAGAACACACAGAACACUGGCAGUGGAUAGUUAUCAUCUUCCUCGAGAAUGCAUUCAAAAUCUUAACAAGAGUAUAUGGCACCAACGGCAAAGCCAUUAUAGUCAAAACAAAGAUUGGGAACAAUGCACUGUUCUCCUCGGACGCAGCCAUUUUCACCCUGUUACUUUAAAAUGAAAACUUAAAGAAUUGUUUUCUUCUUUAUACAACUCUGUAAUAAUAAUUUGACAAACAAUCAACCUCUACACAUUCCAAAAAAAAAGAAAGCUAAUCAGGAAAAUACAGCUGAAAUCUUAAUUCAGAAUAUGUCUAAUCCAAUUCUCCUUUGAAAAACAAAAUCAUUAUUCUAUCAAAUUAACUAAUUAAGAGACGUUUUGGUAAAUUUGAUAAAGUUUAUAUUUUGCAACAAAAUCAUAUCAUUAAUCACUUCUCAAACAAUUAACAAGAAACUGAAAGCUUCCGCACCAUGAAUAUCUAAUUUCGAUGAAUAUUCAAUCCAAAAAAGGUCAAUAAAUAAAUCUAUAAAUGUUCAUAUGCUUCAAUUUAUUGAAUAAACAAAAGAAGAAACGAAAACGUUACUAUUAAACUACAAGAGCUGAGCGAAUUUCUCUCCACCCCAGCAAAAAAAUAGUUUCGCAGAAGAGAAGAUUCGUUGAACUUCAAUUAGUCUACUUAUUUGGGAGAUCUUACCGGGGAAGUUGAGGAUGGCUAUGGUGUUCGCUUCUCCAGCUCCAGGCCAGGCCCAGGCGUUGGCUUGGCCUCGUUCAAAUUACUCGUCAGAACUUAAUUAGUAAUAUCAGUCAUCUUUUUCUGUAAUUUAGGAAAAAAAAUUUGUGAUUUUUAUAUUUUUAAUCUGAUUCUAUUUAAUAUCAUUUUAAUAAAAAUGAAAAUCUGAAUAAUAGUAUAAUUAAUUAACUAUAUUAUUAGAUAAUUUUAUUUUUAGAAAAGUGAUUUUUUUAUUUUGUUCAACAAAAAAUACACGUUUUUAUCAUUUACUCAAAUGCCUGGAUGCAAUUAUUUAUUUUUUCAAAUUUUAAAAUAAAAAAGAGAAAAUUAGAAAAAAAUUUAAAAUUUUUAUCAUCUUAUCUCUUCUAUUUUUUUUUUACUUUAUUUACUGUUUCUUUUAUUAAGUAUUUUAUAAAAAAAAAAAACUGUUUUCUACAAAAUAAAAAUUUAUCAAUUUAUAUUUUUUUAAAAUCUAUAACCUCGUAGCAUCGUGCGUGGUUUUUCUAGUUGCGUUGUUCAAAACUAUGAUAAAAAAAAAAAGAAAAAGUACAGCAGUAAUAAAUUUUGCAAAUAAUAAUUUAAAUUCCUUUUUUUUUGGGUUGCUGGACCUAGCCCAACAGCAUCAAGCAUUCCUAAUUUAAAAGUAAAGAUCUAGCCCGGCCCUUAUUCCUGAGCCCAUUGUCAGCUCCUGGCCAGCUAAGUAAAGAGUUUUUUUUUUUUUUUUUUCGAAAAUAGACCACUUUGAUUUUUAUUUACAACACACCAAAACAAUGAAUUGAUUUUGGCAAAAAUAAAUGCUAAAAAUAGGCCAAGAAACUAUACUUUUAAUGCAUCUUCGAAAAUCAAGAUUUGUCAAAAUUAUAAUUUUUUUACGUUGUUUUUCUUAGCAUUAGAUUAGGCAUCAAAUUGAUAACAUUGUUAGUGUCAAAAUAUAUUUUUCAUAUUUGUAAAUAUGUAGAGAUAGUCAGCUAAUUCCAUCCCCUCCAUACUAAAAUACACCAACAAAAAGAUGGGCAUAUGGUGACAGAUUUCGCACCAACACCAAGUUAAUUCUUAUCACUUAGACCUUGUUUGUUGCACAAGAAAUUAAACUAAGUUUUUGGGAUUAUUAUUAUUAUUAUUAUUAACCUUAUAUAUUAUGAAAAUCAGAGGCAUAGUUUAUGAAUUGAUUUAAGACGUACGAGGUAGCUUCCAUGUCAAAAGUACUGCAUAGCAGACAGCCGCAAGAUUUAGGUGUUGCUCAAGAUUUUUCUUUUUGAAAUAAGUUUCCGAAUAAACGAGUUUAUUUCAUUUUUAAAAUCAAAAUAGGUUGCUAAUUUAUAAAAAAUUUUAUAAAUUUAAUUUUUUAAUUUAUAAAUUGUUUAUCAAUUUUGAAUUUAAAUAUUUUACAUUUAAAUCAUAAACUUUAAUUACUUACAUUAAUUCUUAUUUACAUUACUCAAAAUUGAAAGAUAUCCGAUAAUUUAUUAUUAUUGGUAGCAUGUUUUAAUUGGGACUUAAGUUGCAUGAAAGAUAUCUUAUUUAAUAUAUAUUUUCAUUUAUAAUUGAAUAAAAAAUUAAAUUUUUUAUUAUAUAUAAAUAAAUUUAUAAUCAUAAAAUUUAUUCAUUAAUUUUUUGACUAUAAACUAUAGAAAUCAAAUUAAGAAAAAUGUAAAUGCCUAACUGACCAUUGAGUCCUUGACCACGCUAACUGACUACUGGUAUUGUCUUACGAGGAAUAAACCAUUUAAAAAGGAAAUUUAAUUUUGAGCCAAUGAAAAAACAGUAACAAAAAGGAUUAAACCAUAAAAGUUUGGCAGGCGAAAAAGGCAGGUUUUCAUUUCAUUGAAGGAAAAGUACUUUUCUUUUAAUUUGUGAGAAAAAUAAAGAAAAAAGAAAAUAUAUAUAAAAUAUAAAAAUAAAAAUAUAGAGAUGACAGUCACAGGUUUCCCCAGCUGCUCAUUCCUGAUCUCUAGCGGAAUCUACGAGGCGGGCCAUCGGUGCCAAUCUGAUGAAAAGAUCAAAAAAGGGCCAGAGGGUGAGAUGGACGGUCGAAAAUGAAUUUGAGUGGGUCCCCUUCCUAAUCUAUCUCCCACACGUCACACCAUUCCCAUGCAAUUGUCCACAUCAAACGUAGCACUCCCAUUCCUUUCAUUUCCUUCAAAAUAAAAAAAAUCAAAAUGAAAAUCUAACCUUGAUUUUUUUUCUUUUCUCGCUCACUCACCUUCUCUCGGUGGCCUUUGGAUAUCUGAUUGGCAAAAUCUUCUCUUCUCUCUCUAAUUCGCUCUCCUUUUGGAUCUAUCUUUGAUAAAUUUUCUCACCUUUUCUUGCUUUCCAAACAGAAAGAAAAAAAAAGUGGAAAAUAAAUAAUGGUUUACAGUGCAUCUGGUUUACGGUUACCUUGUGUUCCUUCAGUCUACAGGUUCUGUCAGUCAAGCUUCAAUGGCGCUCGUAGGACUAGCAGUUUCUCUCUUUUGUUGAAGAAUGAUCAAUUUUCUCGUAUUCUCUCUUUGCUUUUAUACUUUUUACGCUUUUUUUUUGCUUUUUUAGAGAUACUCUCUCUCUCUCUCUCUCUCUCUCUCUUUUUUAUUUAUUUAUUUACAUAAUUUUUUAUUCAGUUUGAACUUUGGGCACUUUUUCUAGUUAUUAUACAACUUAUCGAAUCUUAUUUUGCAUUUUUUGGUUAAGAAAAAGUUCCUGAUGAAACAGUGAUCCAAAUUUUAUUACUCAAACUACGAUGCUUGAUUUAUCUUUUUUUUUUUUUUUUUGAAGUUAGAAACGAUGGCGAAAAAGAGUUCAAGUUGUAAUGAUCCAAACAUAGAAACAAAUGAAUACAAAUGCAACGUCGUUUUCUUAAUGAUAUUUAUAAUUAAAGUAUUAAUAGUUAAAUCUUCUUUGAUUUACACAUUCAUGAUUGUUGAUUUGUUAUUAGCGUUAAUAUUGAAAAAAAGGGGAUUGUUGAAGAACUGAUUAGCGUGAUUCAAAAUGUUACCGCUGAAUUUGUUGCAGUAAAAAACAAUUACCAUAAAGAAGUUUCUGAUUUUUGAAAUGAAGUGAUAAUUGCAAAUCGCAGGAAGCUUAGUUUAAAUGUUAAAAGUGAAUUGUAAAAGGGAUGAUUGUAGUGUAAUAGCAGAAAAACUUAAGUGGAGAAAGGAUCAAAGGAAUGCUUUAGUUUUGCAGGUAGGGAACUUGGUUUUGAGCUCGAAAAGUAUACGGCAGAAGAUGAAAUCAUUACUGUUGACAAUGUUAUAGCCUUAUAGGUGUAUGGUUUGUUGCAUUAUCAGCUUUGUUCGAAAGUCAUGGUCGGAUCAUUCCCUUUUAUUUUCUGAGCAUGCCAUUAUGAUCCCUGUUUCUGAUAUCUCUUUUUCUGUAAUGAUGAUGGAUCUGUAUUUGUUAGUAUGAUUUCAGUACCGUCAAAAGAAUUCUCUAUGGGUGGUGCCUGCUUUUAUAAUCUUUUGCUUUGCAGUAUGUAGCGAACUGAUUUGAUGAUUGUAGGGAAGAUCUUUGCGCAAAAGUCUUCUUAUGAUUCAGACUCCUCAUACUUAACUGUUGCUGCAUCCAAGAAAGUACUUGUUCCCGGUGGUCAGGGUGAUGCUUCUUCAUCCUUGACAGAUCAAUUGGAAGGUCCUAGCACUAUUUCAGAUGAUCCAAAGGUUUGUGAUUUUCUGGGAAUAAUGCUGACUGUAUUUUUGAAUGUAUGGAAAUAUUACACUUUUAGUUUUAGAUUGAGUGCAGUUGAAUUUUCAUGAGUUUAUAUUAUACUUGGGAGUAAAUUGAAAAGUGAAAUUUUGGGAUAGUGUUGAUGUCAUUCAAGCUUGUUGAUUCUCUAAAACAGUUUUGACUUGAUAUUGAUGACUUACUGUUCUAAUUCUGAACUAUGACUCUUUUGGAAAAAAAAAAAAUCUUAAAAACAAUAUAAAUGCUGUGGAAUAAGGUUGGGGAAUGGUAUGUUCUUGGUUUUUAUCUUUGAACUUCUGCCUAUUAGCAGCUAAUUUUUAUGCUCAUUUCAGGUAACCAAUUCAAAAUACAAGAGUGGACUUUAUCUUUCUUAUCUCUUUAUGAUUUUUUUUUAAUAGGUAAUUCAUGAUGUAGAUAGUGAAGAAAUGAAAGAUAAUGAGAAGGUUGAGGUUGAGGAACAAGAAUCUGUUCCAUAUGCCCUUGCAAAUAAUGAUGAAGAAUUUCAUGCUAAGGAGCCACCUAUCCCUUUACAUAGGAAAGUAAGUACUGCUAAAAGUGAAGCAAAACCAAGAUCCAUUCCCCCUCCUGGUGCAGGAAAGAGAAUAUAUGAAAUAGAUCCAACGUUGUUGGGUUUCCGUGAACAUAUUGAUUACCGGUAAGAUAAUCCUCUGUUAUUUACUUGUAUGUCUAAUAAUUUGAGUUUAAAAUAUUGAGUUUCCUCUGGCCUUUACAAGAUGGCUGUAAAUUUUAGUUCUCUAGUAGUUGGAAUUUUCUUUUUUCAAUCUUGUUUGUGGUUGCUUAUACACUGUGUUUUCCUAUCUGCAUUUUGCCAGACUUGUUCUGGUCCUUGGAGGUCCAUACCGGUUUCUGGAUCAGAGCUCAGUGGAUAAAUCUGCAUUUUCAUGUCUCCUAUUAACAGUUAACAUUUAUUCUAUGGUUUUGAGAAGCAAUACUUGAAAGAGCAUUCACAGUUUAUUAUGUUUUUUGUUUGUUUUCGUUACUUUAGGGCCCUUUGUUGGAUUUCUGUUUCUGUUAUUUAGUUGUUUAACUAGAUUUUAUCUGGUUGGACAACUAUGCAAGUAGUUCUGUUUUCUUUUUUCAUUUCCUAGAAUCUGUAAUUGAAUCAAAUAUGAUUGAUUUUUAAAGUGAAUUACUACUCUAUGACUGGUUUAAAUCGCUAAAGCAAUAAGCUCCCUAUGGUAUUAUGAUUAUAUAUGCAUUUUGAACACAGGGGGAAGGAGUUAACACUUUUUGUUGGAAAAAGAUCCUAAAAAUGUCAAAUUUUUUAUGUCUGAUUAACUUGCUUGUUUUAGGUGUCACUUAACUUGCAAUCUUUAAUUUUGACAAUCAAUAUGUUUUUGUUUUCACUGCAUAGCUCUCUGGUGCUAUAUCUCUUAUAAUAUAUGUUUUUUUUUUCUAUUUUGUUGAGGCAGUCUUCUUAUCUGUCCCUGUCCAGUUACUUAUUUUUAUUUGUAUUUGCAUUUUUACUUCACUGUUUUAUAUACAGACUAAGUUAAAACUGUCAAGAUUUGAUUCCCUUUUAUGUUUUAUCCAAUUACAGGUAUGCACGAUACAAAAGAAUGCGUGAGGAAAUUGACAAGUAUGAAGGUGGUUUGGAGGCAUUUUCUCGUGGCUAUGAGAAGUUUGGCUUCACACACAGGUUAUCAUUCUUCCCAAUAUCUAGUUGUUAGCAUGGGCUUAUUUUUAGUUGCUGUAGCAUUGCAUAUUGAUUGCAUCUCUCAUGGUUGCAUGUCAUUGCUUCUUACACUAAAUGUAACUUGUUUUGAUUUAUUACUCUUUCGGUUAAAAUAAAAAAAUUUUCAUUAAAUUAAAUUAAUGUUGGAAUUUUCUUAUAAUGGAGUGUGGGAACAGCUCACAUGACUUUCCAAAAGUUUUACUUUUUAUAUGUAAUAUGUUUAAAAUUCAGGCAGAUUAUUCUCAGAAAGAAAUAAAGUUCCUUGAUGCUUAACAAAGUAUGGAACAAGUAUUUGAUUCUUUGGUGCAAGUAAAAAUUGAGAAAUUUUAUGACAUCCCUUACAGUUAGUCCUUUCUUUAUUGGGUCACUUGUAUUUUCAUUUAUUUAUUUAUUUAUUCUUCAAUGACUUCUCCUUGUUACCGUUGUCAUUUCUUUGUAUUAUAUUGCUUGAUAGCUAUCUUGUUAACUUUAAUAUUUAGUAAAAAUGUUAUUCUUCAUUCAUCUUUUAUGCCUUAAAAAUUUGUUUUAUGAUAAGUUGAUGUUGCUCUUUCUAAUCAUAAUCUCAUAUGGCUUUCAGCGAGAAAGGAAUAACUUAUAGAGAGUGGGCACCGGGAGCUAAGGUUUGUUAUGCAUCAUUUUAACAUUUUGAGAUUUUAACAACUUAAUCUUAUUAACUUCUAUCCAAACAAAAAAAUCUUAGUAACUUCUAGGUGAUCUGUUUUCGCUUCAAUUGGUCUGAUUAUUUUACUUCAUUCUCUUUUUCAGUCAGCAGCACUGAUUGGAGAUUUUAACAAUUGGAACCCUAAUGCAGAUAUUAUGACCCGGGUAUGUUAUGUUUUGUUCUGCAAGAACAAAUGCCACAUGUGCAUUACUUGUUAAUUAAAUUGAUACUUUCCAUGUCUGUCAGAACUGUUCUGCCAUUGAUGGAUUACUUGAAGUGUAGUGAAGUACAUAGUAAUUGGACAGUACUUUACUAGGUGCACCUAAAAAUGAUUUUGUUUGAUUGCUUUGUGAAUCUUCCCCUCCUAUACGUGUUAUACAUUAUGCGGUCACAUGAUGGAGAUGAUGCUGCAGACGUGUCAAAUGUCAGUUACUCAGCACUUUGUUUUUGAGGCAGUCAUGCAGUUUUAUAUCUAUUGAUGAACUCCAUGUGAUUUAUGGCUUUUAAUGAGCUUCUGCCUUCUCCUGCUUUCUCUCUCUCUCCAAUGUGCUUUAAGAUUUUUGCCCUAGGAAACUGUAGUAUUUGCAUCAGCUGUUCAUAUGUCAAUGCUUAUUUUCUCUAAAUGCACAUACUGAAAGAAGUUAAAUGUUAUUUAAGCUUGGUUUCUCAAAACACUUACUUUAAUGUUAAAUCUGAAUGGAAACAUGGGUCUUUUUGUUUAUAUGCCAGUGUGAAUAAGCUUCUUAAUGGACCAAAGAUUAGGUGCAUGGUCUGAUGCAGUUUGUAUAAUUUGAAGUCCCAAAUGUAAAAGUUAAGAAGAUAGACUUUAUCAAAGUUUUUAUAAUGAAGCAGUAAAAGUCACCUUGCCUAUGUAACAAUUAAUUGUAUCAGCAUAUUCAUUUAUUUAAUGCCAUGCAGUCUCAAGUAUAAAAGAGAAGGUGACUCUGUUGUAAGUGUUUAGAAAGCCAUGUUAACUUACAUUGACAGUGUUGUCUGGUGUAUUUUUAAUCUUUUAUUUUCCAUCAUGUGUUUAAUUUUACAAAUAUUAAUUGUUUUUUAACAGAAUGAGUUUGGUAUCUGGGAGAUCUUUUUGCCUAAUAAUGUUGAUGGUUCACCACCAAUUCUGCAUGGUUCUCGAGUGAAGGUAAAUUUCUUGUGGCUGAAUAUAAAUUUGGUUCUUGAAAGUUAUUGUGUUUACAUUCAAAUGUUACUUGUUUACUAUUUCCUUUUUCCAUUUUUUUUUUUUGAUUCAAAGCAAAGAGAAAUUAUAAAAAAAAUUGUGACACUUUCCUUGUAAACCAACAAUGUAAUUAUCCUUUUGGUCAUGAUUGUGGACCAGGAACCUUUAAGUAUGACACUGAUUUUUACAGUGAUCCGAUUGCAUGUCUAAUUGGCAAAAAUCUCUUUUGAAUAAAAUAUUACAGUAUAUGAUUUGAACAUUGAUUUGUAAUUCAACCUUCAAAAUAAUUGAUUUAAUUCACGACACAAAGGUGUGUUACUAAAUAAUUGAAAAAGUAAAAUAUAUUUUUUCUAUCUUAUAAAGAAUAUGAUAAGGAGAACUUGUAAUAUAGUGAUGAGAAAAAUAGCGGGUGUGAGAAGGCUAGUAGCUGUGUUUGAUAGAUCAUGAGUUCAACAUUUUGGAAAUAAUGCCAAGUUUAUACGAGUUGAAAUAAGAAAAUUAGUAUAUUUGAUAUGAAGGUUUAUCAAGGAAUGUACUGUAUUAAUCAGUCAUAGAAUUCAAUAUCAUAUUAAUUUCAUCUCCAUUCAAUAUUUCUUUUAAGAUGGAUGGUUACAACAACCCUUUCAAGUUUGUUGCUCUAAACAAAAUCUAUAGAUGCCCAUCGUGAUUUUAUGUGCAUAUAUGGUCAACACUCCUAGGUAGCUGAGAUUUAAAGAAUCUUAAAGUAUGGAUGCCGCUCCUUCCACUAAUUGAGAUAAUAAAAGUUACUAAUUUGUUAAGCUCUUCAUGAUGUAGAACUUGCUUAUAAGACCAUUUAUGCUAAUUUUAAAUCCUUCUAAGAGCUUAGUGCAGGAUUAAUCUUCUGAAACUUUGCCAGAACAAAUGGAAUAGGGUAAAAUGCGAUAUAAUUCUGCCUAUCAGUGUAAGGUGUUCAAUGUUCUGGCACUAAAGUAUUUAAUGGGUGGUUUCCAAGUCAACAAAAUUAUUCAAGGAAGCUGAGUUCAGUUCCAACUAACUCCCACCCUACAAAGAAGAAAGAAAGAAAAGACGAAGAAGAAAAAUAUAAAAUUUUCCUUUUCUUGACUGUUAUGAUCAUAUCAAUUAUCAUUAAUCUAAAGCUCCUUUCCAUCUGUCCAUUUUAACUUUUUGACCAUUUAAUUAUAGAUUCAUAUGGAAACUCCAUCUGGGAUUAAGGACUCCAUUCCUGCAUGGAUCAAGUUCUCUGUUCAAGCACCUGGUGAAAUCCCAUACAAUGGAAUAUACUAUGAUCCACCAGAAGAGGUAUAUUUAGUGGUUGUUUGAUCUUUUGAUUUUGUUGGAAACAUUAGAUGAUAACUUAUUCUUUUCAAACUAUAAGUUGCUGAAAUAUUUGGAGCUUGGGUAAAAUCAGAAGUACAACUAAUGUUUUUCAUAAUUUUAAAAUGACUUCAUGGAGGUUGUUUUAUGAGUGUCUUACAUAACCUUCAUGUUAAGAUCAAUUCCCUUAAAAGUUUUUAACAAAACUAUUAUGGUUGGUUCACUUCCAUAUAUGAAGUCAGUUUCUAAAUUAUGUUCUUCCUUGCUCAAGUUUAAUCACCGCACAGCACGGUCAACUUAGUUCAGUCUGUCGUAUGUUUGUUAUCUCAAAUUUCUUGUAUUCUAUUGUGACUAAUGAUAUUUAUAUUGUGACAGGAAAAGUAUGUAUUCAAACACCGCCAACCAAAAAGACCAAAAUCUCUUAGAAUUUAUGAGUCACAUGUUGGAAUGAGUAGCAUGGUAUGCAUCUCCCUUCUGUAACCAAUCUUUGCAUUUACAAUCAACAUCUUUUCCCUUGCAUGUAGCAAAUUGUUAUUCAACUCUUCUGUCUCUGUGCUCAGUUGCAUUUAUAUGUUGGAUUGAAUCUUAAAGGACCUUAAGUUUGUUAAAAAGCUUCAUUAAAUGCUAUCAUAUGUGAGAUCAUAUUUUUUAUACUGUUGCUUUCAAGAUUUGCAAGGACGAAGUGUUCCUGCAUGGAAUUAUGACUGAAAAGUAAAGCAGGAGCUUUCUAAGGCUACAUUUUACAGGAAAAUCUUCGUAGUGUUAAAUUUAAACUAUCAAUUUUACCCAAAAACAAAGGAAGAAAGAGAGAAACAUUUUAAACUUGCAAUGAACAUCUUAAAAAGCACCAAACUAUACAGCUGUCUCUAAAGGCCUGUAAAUUUUUAAAUGAAACUAUUUGUUUUAUCCUGUGUCCAGAUGGCAGAGUGGCCUCUCUUAAAGAGAACACCCAUCAAAUUAAGCCCACAUAAAUACAUGUAGGUGUACAUGGCCUUCCCUUGGUGUUCUUUGGUUAAAGGAAAUUAGGCCACUCUGAUUGUACUAAAUAACAAGUAUUACUUUAGUAAAUGUGAAACAGCUAGUGACUUGGAUUCUGUGAACUGCUUUGUGUUUAGAACUAUCUUAAAUAGCAGUUACAAAACAAUUAAAUAGAAGCUGUUAGGAUUGCAUUUCAUUAUGAUUCUUCACCCACUUCUAAAACCCAUUAAGAGGUUUGGCCAAAAAAGAAAAAACCCAUUAAGAGGCCCCUGAAUUUGCAAUUAAACUAAAAUUUAUCACUAUUUCGCAUCUUCUUGUGCUUAUGAUAGUUGGGUUAUCAAUUAAGGUGUAAAAAGAUCUUUAUUUCUCUUGAAGGAGGGUUGGAUCCACAAGGUCCUAAGAUGUGGUGUUUGUGUUUACAAUAGAAGAUUCUAACAGCUAAUCUUUAGGCUUUCGUUUGGUAGUUCCUCUUGUUGUUUGUUAACAUUUGAUUGUGCAUCAAUCAACUUAUAGCCUUAUAUGUUGGUUGUAUGUACUUUUAAUAUAAGACUAACAUACUUUGUAAUUUUUGCUCCCUUUCCAAUCCUUGUGUAAUGUUUGCUCUUUUGUAAGUAGCUAAAUUUUCAUGCAUACUGUUGUUAAAAGAAAAUUUGUCCCACAAAAACCUUCAGUCUUUAUUUUCCUUGUUGCAUUGUGGUAUAGCUAAUCCAUUUCCUAGUUCUCUUAAUCCAAUCAACUCUGAGAUGCAGGAGCCAAUAAUUAACACGUAUGCCAACUUUAGAGAUGAUGUUCUUCCCCGCAUAAAAAGACUUGGAUAUAAUGCUGUUCAGAUCAUGGCUAUUCAAGAGCACUCAUAUUAUGCAAGCUUUGGGUAUUAUCUCUAUCAUAAUAUUAGCUCAAAUCUAUUUUGUUGCUGUUUAUGUUUCGUAACUCAUUCUAAACUGCUAUGUUGUAGAUGUGAACAGAAAUAUUUCUUCAGAAUUUAGUUUCAGUUAUGGAAACUGACCUCUUCUACUUUUAACAAUUUGCAUUUAAUAUGUUGCAGGUAUCAUGUGACCAAUUUCUUUGCACCAAGCAGCCGCUUUGGAACCCCUGAUGAUCUUAAGUCACUGAUAGAUAGGGCUCAUGAGUUGGGUCUACUUGUUCUUAUGGAUAUUGUGCACAGGUAAUAAUUUGAUUUGCAGGAGAUUUCAUUUCUAGAAACACGCCCUUCUUAUUUGCUGUUAACAUUUUUAAUGCAAACUUUUUUUUUUCGCUGGAUAUUUGUACAAAAAAAGAGAAUGUAAACCUUCCCUCUUCUUUUCCUGCUUUGACACUUAUUCAUUCUUCCAGUAGACUUCAUGCACAUAUGGCCAUGAGAUUUUAGGCUCUUAUUGGUUGUUGCACUUAUUACUAGGCUUUUUCUGGUUGCUUUUUGCUUCCUAAUAAAAGGUUGCUAAAAUGCAAAUCUAAAAGGAGAAAGCAAAGUCAUAAUUGAUUGAAAAUGUAUAAAUGAAUAAAAUGCGAUAAAAUCCCAGUAUAAUUGUUCUAUUAAAAGAAAAAUCAUGGUAUUUUGUUCUAAAAGAGGUUAUAUUUUUAAUUUUUAAUAAUUCUUAUUGCUUUUAAUUGCUUUUCUAUCCACACAUACUUUUGCUUCUGGAAGCAAAAAUCUUGUAGCAAAAACAACCAAAUGGUACUUUUAGUGUAUUUUUUUAUAAAGCAAAAUUUAUCUUUUGUGUGUUGUUAAUGUUAAUUGUUUAUUUAAGCUGUAGAAGCAAAUUUUUAUUUGAGUAUUUAAUCUGUUGCCUUUGAGUAAGCUGUCUUUUUCUAUAAGUCUCAGAUAAUUUUUAUUUUCUAGUUAAAUUAAGUUACUAAUUAAUUUUCUCAUCCCUCUUUGUAUUUGACUGAUGUUUGAUGGAUGCAGCCAUGCAUCUAAUAAUGUGUUAGAUGGAUUGAACAUGUUUGAUGGAACUGAUGCUCAUUACUUCCACUCGGGGUCAAAGGGUCACCACUGGAUGUGGGACUCUCGCCUUUUUAACUAUGGAAGCUGGGAAGUAUGUACUUCUAUUGAAACUUCUUUUAAAGAGUAGCUUGUUGAAAUAUUGUCUUCCUCCCAUCCUGUUGUGUAAAUAUUAACUUUUACUUGCUGUAGGUGCUAAGGUUUCUUCUUUCAAAUGCAAGAUGGUGGCUGGAAGAAUAUAAGUUUGAUGGGUUUAGAUUUGAUGGUGUGACUUCAAUGAUGUAUACCCAUCAUGGGUUGCAGGUAUUAUCUGAGAGAUUUUGCAAAUUUUCUAUUUUUCUUGGUGUUAUUUAAUAACUUAAUUGCACGUUCAGAUGUUGAUUAUCAAAGUUUUGACUUUAUUUUCAAUAUAGAGAAGUGGAACUGAUAUAACAUUUAGUUCUUGGAAGUGAUGAAGCAUCUUUUCUCUAUGUUUGUUUCUUAAUUAAAUUCUCUUGAGGACUAAAGGGUGUGGGAGUAAGCAUCACUGCAUCUUUAUAAUGAUUGCCCCGGCUUAACUUUUGUUUCCCUGAACUUGCUGUAGGUAACAUUUACUGGAAAUUACAAUGAGUACUUCGGAUAUGCAACUGAUGUAGAUGCUGUUGUUUACCUGAUGCUGGUUAAUGAUAUGAUUCAUGGGCUCUAUCCUGAGGCUGUUACCAUUGGUGAAGAUGUAUGUUCUAUAACUCCUUUCUGAGUCAUGUUGAGCAUCCUUCAACUUGUAACCUUUUAUCUAUUCCCAGAAUUAUAUGUUCAAUUUAUCUUCUACAGCAACAUUUGUUGCAGUGGAUUGAGUAAAGAAGGGGGUUUCAAAACAUUUUUACAUGAUCUAUGUGGAUGUUAUGGUUUGAAAUGGUUUUGAAAAAGUUUGCACACGUGUAUUUGCGUGUGCAUAAGCCUACAACACUUUUGUGCGGUUUGCAUGUUUUGCUAAUUCUCUACUGCUUCAUCACUUUUCUUCAUGCAUCAAUUGAAUUCUUAUGCCACUAAUAUGUAGGUCACCGUGCUAGUAAUUAAGUGAAUUUGAUAUUGUAGUUCCUAUUGCUGAAUGAACUGAAGAAUCAUUAAGAUGCUUGUUGCAAAUUGAACUAACUUUUAUUGUAGACCAAGAGUUAUGGAAACAUAGUAACUAAAAGAGGCCAAAAAUGAAAAUUCCAAAAAACACUAGAAGGGAAGGAACAACAAUCUCUAGAAAUCUUAAAAUAUCCUUGCUGUUAACAAAUUUCAUCUUUUGUGACCUAAAAGGCUACUAGGACAACAAAAUAUGAUUUAUGUUUUUACCCACUAGAUAUAUUAGCAUUAUUUUGUAAAUAACAUUUAGUUGACAAAAUGCUUUUAUUGGAAUGAUUUAGUUGCAGACUUUCAUAUAUUAUUCACAAAAAAUCAUUCUGAGAGUUCUGUGAAUAAUCUGGCAAGACAGUUGGAAAGUAGACUUCCAUCUGUGAUAAAUAAAUAAUUGAAUAAUGAGUAAAAUGAAUAAAGGAAUAACACUAAGAGGACUGUUAUCAAGAUGAGUAAUUCUUUCAGGACAAUGUUAAUUUCCUUUGUUUUUGUUAUGCUAAUCAUAAUAUUGUGUAUGGUAUAGGUGAGUGGAAUGCCAACAUUCUGCCUUCCUGUCCAAGAUGGUGGUGUGGGAUUUGAUUACCGUCUGCAAAUGGCCAUUGCUGAUAAAUGGAUCGAGCUUCUCAAGUUCGUAACUGUCCAAUUUAAAACUUUUUACCACGUGAUAACCUUGAAUCUACUAUCUUGUGAAAUGUAUAUGAUAUUAAACUAUAUGUACUUUUUGUCUUGUUAUGUAAUAUAGGAAGAGGGAUGAAGACUGGAAAAUUGGGGAUAUUAUUCACACGCUUACCAAUAGGAGGUGGUUGGAAAAGUGUGUGGCUUAUGCUGAAAGUCAUGACCAAGCUCUAGUUGGUGACAAAACAAUAGCCUUCUGGUUGAUGGAUAAGGUUAAAUAUAUUCUUACUUAUAUUCAUGCUAAUGAGCAAUUUGCACUUGGAAAACUAACUGGCCAGAGGAAAUGCUUUUACUCAACAAUCUUUUCUUUCCUUGACCUCUAGGUAUUAGAAAUUUGCAGUUAACUUUCCUUGGCCUCUAGGUAUAAAAAGUGACCCUGUUUUUAUUUAAAUAGGGGAAAUGUGUAUAACCAGUCUGAUUCAGCUUUAUAAUUUAUAAAAUUAUUAGCUUCAAUUCCUUUUUGCAGGAUAUGUAUGAAUUUAUGGCUCUAGAUAGACCUAGUACUGCACUUAUAGAUCGUGGGAUAGCAUUACACAAAAUGAUUAGGCUUAUCACCAUGGGACUAGGUGGAGAAGGAUAUUUGAAUUUCAUGGGAAAUGAAUUUGGACAUCCUGGUAAGAUCAACUGGCUGCAACAGCCAGCAUUUCCAAAUUGUAUAAUUUGACAGUUCUUAAAUGCUAUGUUAUAAUUUCUCCAUUAUUCUUUUGUUUUUUUUUUUGCAGAGUGGAUUGAUUUUCCAAGGGGUGAUCAGUGUCUUCCUAAUGGCAUGGUAAUUCCAGGGAAUGGUAACAGUUAUGAUAAAUGUCGACGCAGGUUUGAUCUUGUAAGUUUCGGCUUCAAUUCAUAUUUUGCUUGUGUUACAUUUAUUAAAAGUUCAGUAGAUAUUUGACUUUACUUUAAUCUGUAUUUGUAUUUUACAAUCAACAAUCAACUCUAUAAUGGUAUAAUUGGUCCCGACUGUUGCUAUGCAUAAAUGUCUCUGCUUUGUGUGUUAUAGUGCUUGAGUGUGCGACAGUACAUUGUUAUAUUUGGUUACAUGCACACAGGGGGAUGCAGACUAUCUGAGGUAUCGUGGGAUGCAGGAAUUUGAUCAGGCAAUGCAGCAUCUCGAAGCAAAGUAUGGUGUAAGUAUUGAUGGUGCUUACUAUUUUGUUGUUUUAUGUGUGCUGAUGGAUGCUAUUAUUUAACUUUACAUUUUAUUGCUUAUUUUAUUUUCUGUACUAGUGAUUAAUCACACCCAAUGAUGUGAAAUUUUAAAAUUAAAGAAUAAUAAACAAAGAAAAUGAAUGAACAUUAAGCAGGAUAGAGGAUAGGAAGCGAAUUUUGAUAGUGAUCUGUGGAUAGGGGUAAUCAUUAGUAAUUACUUUCUGUUUUCACUUCAAUUAGCAAAAUAUCUGUUGCAUUCUUCACUUGUAAAUGGCUUUAUUUUUGUUAAACAAUAAUCAUGAAAUCAUUAUUCAAAAAUCAUGGAUGCAAGUAAUAAGAAAUGAUAUGAGGGUUAAGAAAGUAAAUGAAAAAGUAGUUUUUGAUAGAAAUUAGUGACGCAAGAAGAUUCAAAAUUACAACCUAACAUGAUUCUUUCCGGGCCUUUCAUACAGUCGACCCUAAAGCUAUGAGAUAUAAGGCUUAGUUUGUUAUUGUAAUAAUCUUGAAGUCUUUCCUUUAAGCAUUUUGACAAAUUUUAUCUUUAAUAAAUUCAUGUAAAAUUGUUUCAUGGUCAUGGAUCUUCAAAACCUAAAAGAAAUCCGUAUAUUCAGGUUCACCAUUAUCUGCUUCUGUGGGCAUGGCUUUUUUAGUAGAUUCUAUCUCUUACCACAUAAAAGACAGAAGAAAAGAACUCAGAUUUCGUUGGAUUACUCAAUUUUUCAACAAUUUCUUUCCCUUUAGUUUAUAUUCCCUGGAAUAGAAAGUUUUAGCUUUGAUUUUGUAGAAGUGGACUUUGUGACAUGGUUCUCUACAAUUCUCACCUAUUUCAUGCAAUGAGAUUUAUGCAAAUCAAACCGUGUUGUCUGGGUAGCCAAGAAGCUUUAUGUCUUGUUGUUUAGAAUGUAAAACCGAUGCACAGUUUAUUGUUUAUUCAGUUCAUGACUUCUGAGCACCAAUAUAUAUCACGGAAGAAUGAAGGAGAUAGGAUGAUUGUCUUUGAAAGAGGCAACCUGGUUUUCGUGUUCAACUUUCACUGGAAUAAAAGCUAUUUUGACUACCGAGUGGGCUGCUUAAAGCCAGGAAAGUACAAGGUAAAAUAAUUUUGACGUUCAUACAGAUGAGAGUUUGCAUGCAAAAUAUUCGUUGUACAUUUUGUUUCCGCACCUUAAUUCAUAUACAUUGAUAUGGAUUUUGCAUCUGAUUAAUGAGUCUUCAAAUACAGUUUCAACAAAGUUUACAAUGUUUGUCUCGAGAUGGUUUAAUAUUUUAUUUUGUUUCUCUGCCAGAUUGUAUUGGAUUCAGAUGAUCCAUUAUUUGGAGGCUUCAAUAGGCUUGACCAUAAUGCCGAGUACUUCAGCGCUGUAAGGAAAUUCUCUGAAGUUUUAUUUCUGAAUUCUAUCUACUCUAAUAUUCACUCAAAAAGUUUUCUAACUUAAGACCAAUAUGUGGGGUUCUCCAGGAGGGAUGGUAUGAUGACCGGCCUCGUUCCUUCUUGGUGUAUGCACCAAGUAGAACAGCAGUUGUUUAUGCACUAGUAGAAGAUGAAUCCAAACCAGUUGGCAAAUCAGAACCUGUGGAAAAUUUUGAAACCGUUGAAGAAGCAGAACCUGUGGAAGAAUCAGAACCUUUAGACUGCUAAACUUUUCUCUAUCACAGAAUCUCGUGAUAUUGGAGUGGCUUAAAAUUGUCUUCUGGAGUGGCCGCCCCCACUUGAUACGGUAUUUUUGGUUUACAAACUACACAAUAUAUAAUUCCAUCAUGGCGAGUUUCACUGCCCUGGAGAUGAACCUAUCACCGAUAAAACCUCCGAUACUGAUGCCCGGGCAUAUCAAGCAAAAUCCGGAGCUGUAGAAGGUAAUUCUUUCAUGAGCAAUAAAGCCAAUUUUCUAUCAAAACAAUAUUUCCGUGGCUUCUGUAAAUGUUUCGCGCUCUGUUAUCUUUCAAGCUAUAUAAAGUGCUGAUGUCGGUUAAACAUGCCAUUUACAUCAAUGUGAGGUUUCCCCCGAAUUCGUACAAGGUAUUGAGCAUCCUACUGCAGCAGGAAUGCAAGAAUGGCUGAAUAAUUUAAUAAAUUAUCAUGGUAUUGCUGUAGAUGUUCUUUCCUUUUAUACAUUUUAUUAGUUAUUUCUUGGAGGCCUGCUUGAAAAGCCGUUUAAACUCGCAAUUUGAAGUUAUUGCGCCCUUGAUUUUUCUCGCAAAGGUCUAACCUCUUCAAAGCAGACAGUAACUCCUUUCAUCUAAAACUUACAGUUAAGAACACAGAAAAUGCAAGCAAUUUACAUGGAAAGGUGUUUGGAGUGCCUAAAACGGUUAAAGUUGAAAGUAACACAGAAUUCAAGUGCUGACAUAGCUAGUUUCAGAUGCAGAACCCCUAAGCAACCGAUGCAGAACACUAGUUGGUGAUGAAUUAGAUGUUGAUGAUCUUAACGCCUUAGCGAGGGGUCAUCCCAUGGAAGCCACCUGGUUUGUGGCCCAACCCGUUGCCCAAUUCAAUUGUGGCUGAUACCUUUCGCCGUCCUGGGGACCCAGUUGGUCUCCAUUGCAGGUAGACAACUUCAACGACACAUCUGACGAUGAAUUUCAAGGCAUUGAAAUGGAAAGGCAUGUCGCAGAAUUUAUUGGGCUUGCAUUUGUUCCAGCAUUAUCAGGUUCUUGUAGGGAUCUCGGCCAAUCAUAAAAAAAAUGUCUCAAAAUGUGACCAUCAGAUCUGUUAUCAACUUCAUUUGGGGUUUCAAAAAGGCCCUUAUGUUCAUUUUUGGACUCUAAGGAACUGCCAGACAUAAAAGAACAUUGUAGAACAAAAGACAAGCCCAAAAAAAAAAAGAGAAAAUAAAUUGUACGAAAGCAUAAGCAAAGCACGUUACAAACGACUAAAGAAGUGGUUGGGGUAAGUUUGUACCGAAUCCAAAUCUCCUGUCCAGAUUUAAGAUACAUUAAUAGGGUCCUACCAUGGAAGGAUAUCAUCACUAUACAAAAAGCGUGACAUCCCAACAAAAGAUUCUGUGGAAUCCAAAGUUCCACGAGUUUGUAACAUAUUUCCCAUCCUUCUUUAAACUAUAAUACAACAACUAGUAUAGCAAAAUUGCCUUUACUUUUUUAAGUUCAAAUCUUCAUUCAUACAACAUAAAAAUAAAUAAAUAAAUAAAUAAAACUUUCUUACGAGUUGUGGAUAAAUUUGUACAUCCCUCGUCUCAUUCUACAUUUUCAACCAUUUAAGUCAUAACUUAAGACCUACUCACAGUUCAAUUCAGGGUUAGAAAUAAGAGCAAGGACAAAAAUAUUGUCUAAUUUUUUUUAGAUAAAAAAUAAUAAAUAAGUACUAAAAUUCAAAUAUCAAAUUUAAUAGAUAUCACCGCUUUUUAUGCAAUUCCACAAACACAUAAACUAUUCUUGUGUUCAUAUUUUGUAAUUUUCCAAUUAGCACAAGUACACCAGUGCUACCAACAAAAUUACCUGUAGAAGCCUCUUAUAUAAAAAGACUGUAAAUUAUACAUUUUCCUAUCUACCUCCUUCCCUUUCCUUUCCCUCCAUCACCGGGUUGAUACGAGAGAAAUCGAACCUUAGAAUCCAAGUCGACUUUGAAGUUGUUAGAUACCUACAUCAACUACCGAGAGACCAAAUCCCUUCGCUCAGCUGUUCUUAUCAAUGUGGCAGGGUGCUUUCCUAAUCAUGAGCCCAGUAAAUUACCAGCUAAACAACAUGGGUGAAAGAGUAAAAGCAGUUCCAAAUCAGAAGAUAGGCAGUAAGAUUACCUAUGAUUAAGGUGAAGAAGAUCGAUGGGAGGGGAAGGCCCCGAAAGGCCAAAAUUGUUGGGUCCGUUAGCCACCACUGCUAAGGGUGAAGGGGUAGUUGGGGAACUGGCUUUAAGGGCAUCACAUCCAAUAGUACCAACACCAGCACCAGAAGCACGAACAAAAGGAGCAGCCGCAUUAUUUUGGGUGAGGGUGGUGAUGGUGUUAGAUGUGGGCAUUUCCACAGGCUUUCUUGAACGGUUGCGGCCACGGUGCACGUGGCGCUCGCAAUACUUCUGGCCGGCCACCACAUCCCUCGAGCACCUCCACUUCUUACCGUCAGUCCUCCGGCACCGGCCUGGCUCUAGAUCCAUUGCUGCUCUUCCAAAGUGCCCUGAUUGCAAGACUGAUCACACGUGUUCAUACUCUUCAUCAAAAGUUCACUACUACUACUACUAGUAUUUAUUUUUUGGAAGGAUUCAUUAAUUCCCAAGGUAGACAUAAUAUAAAAUUAUUUGUGAACCAAUUUCUUUUAGCAUAUAGUUUUCUUAUGCCUUACGCAAAAUAAAUUUAUUUAGAAUACGAUAAAGUACACAUUUCAUAAAUAUAAAAGCAAGAACAGAUCACAAAUUGGGAAAUCAGAUCUUGACAAAAAUGUAAAAUUUUAAAACGUUAUGUGAACAAACCCUAGGGGGUUUCACUGUCUUGGUAGGUAGACAAAAAUCUAAACAUUAAUUGAUACGAAUCCAUGGAAUUAUUGUGCCGAAGUCUUGUGCAUUUAAAGAAAAUGUAAAUGAACUUAACGUUUAAUAGUAUACCAAGAAGGAUAGUUGAUGAAUAAUAACUUACAAGCUGGCUGGUAAUGGGAGUAGAGUUGAAGAGGGUGGUGGAGGAAAUAUGGAGGAGAGUGAAGAAGACUUUUCUU
rnacentral:lncRNA from 1 species